rnacentral:lncRNA from 1 species
AGGAACUCACUAUGUGACUUAGAAAGUGAUUGAACCACCAACUUUCUCAAGACUUUGACACCCAACUCUCCCGGCUUGUCAAUAUGUGACUACAUCUCCAAGAUGUGAUCACACCUAGACCUUGCCUUGCCAAUAGGGCUUGAGUGACCUUAAACUUUUCAAGAACUUGUGGGUUAGGGAGAAUAAUUGGAGGAGGAGAAAGAAGUAUGAUAUCCAUGGGACAUCAUCUUCAUUAGGAAACCUUGUUUCAAGAGAUUUGGGAAGAUCAUAGGUGUCUAAACCAGACAUCUUUUGGGAGAUAUUCAAGAUAGUUGAUUUAAAGUCCUUAAUAUGACACCCAAUAUGAAAUAUUAAGGCUAGGACCCAACAAACUAUUUUAUAACUUAGAAGAGGUAUGCCGUAAUCCAAGCUAUAAAAUAUUUGAAGGUAGGUGAAUGACGAUUCACCAAUUUCCACCAAGAUAAACGAAAUGUAUUAUUAGGUUUUAAUUGGUUUUGAAACUCCUAGAUCUUUGAGAUUCAUUGAACUGUUCAAAGGCAUGUUUCAAUCUCGAGUGUGCCCUUCAGGUUUUGUGACUGGGAUGCCGAGGAUCACAAAACAAGGUGUGAAGUAACCAUGCAAAUCACUUGGUACCCUUAAUAAAUUACCCCUCAAUCGAUGUGCCGGUUAACCACACACGCUCCAUCGAUACUAUGAUAAAUAUUAAGUCACCCUUUACCUACCUUGUUAAGUCCAAGUUAGUGUGCCGGUUAACCACACACGCUCCACUAACGACUUAGACAAAGUGUAAAGUGUAAUUUCAUGGAUUAGCACCUUAUUCACAUUUUUCCUAAGUAACUAAGAUUGGGUAUUAUUAAGAGUUUAGUUACUUAGUAUUAUCAUUAAUACUUUUAAUGAAGGGAGAAUUCUAGUCCUGUCAAACCCGUUCGGCUAACGACCCUCCACCAGUCAAGCAAGCGGUGGGUGAGAGUGGACACCCAUUAAGUUGCCAUUUUAUAGGCAACAACCUUAUACCCACCUUAUAGACCGGCUUCGUGAAUGAGGCGUACUAGCGGUAAGACUGACUUUACUCUUAUACAUAUAUAUAUUAUUAACUUAUAAUAUUAUAAAGUAUAAGGGUUGAAUUUUAACUUUUAAAAUUCUAAGGGCUAACUUGGAAUUAAAGUAUUCAUAAGUGAAAACUUUACAAAUUCCAAAACUUGAGGGCAAGUUUUGAAACUAUUCAAAACUAAUUAAUUCCAUAACUUAUGUGUUUAAAGUAGUUUUAAUCCAAAAACUCUUCAAGUUCCAUAACUUGAGGACAAGUUAUGGAAGACUUUAAACUAAUAAAAGAAUUAACUUUUCUUUAUUUUAUAACUUAUGGAAUUAAUUAAGGUUACACUUUUUUUUUUUUUAUUUUAUUUUAUUAAAUGAAGAGACUCUUGGUCCUCCAUAACUUGAGGACAAGUUAUGGAGUCAUAAAACCAUUUAAUUAGAACUAGACUCUUCAUUUUUGUAACCUUUGCCAAUUUUUAUGAGUUUUAUGAUUCUUAAAUGUGACUUUUCAUAUAACUUGAGGACAAGUUACAAAAACACAUUUUAGAAUCAAUUCUUAGAUUAAUUUGGAUUAAAACCAACUAUCACAUAAUUUUAUUCAUUAAUCUAAAUUCACUCAUAAAACAAGGUAACACAAAAAACUUUUGGUGAUCCAUAACUUAUUCUUAAGUUAUGGAAUCCUUUAAAACAUUAACACCAAAUUUUGUAACUCCAAAAAAACUUUGAAUCAAUUUUUUUUUUAAAACCUUUUCAUAUCCAUAACUUAUGGAGGUUUCAAAAAAUAAAACUCUUUAGAUCAAACUUUUAAAACUAAUAAAAUAAUCAUAUUAUUUUAUCUUUUAUUAAAUUUGACCUAAUUCAACUCAUAAAGCAAAUUAUUCAAAUUUUACAAAUAAUUAGUUUUUCACAAGAACAAGUAAUUAUCUUAAAAUUUGACAAACUUCAUGUUUUUUUUUUUUUUUUUUUUCAACUUUGAAAAUAAAAUAUUUGCAUCAAUAUAACAGAAAACAACCCGUGGCUCUGAUACCACUGUUGGGUUUUGAGCAUUCUAACACUUCCUAAGUGUACAUGCAACCCUAAAUACCUUGGAUCUAUGUUUUCUCUAUUAUACAUGCAAAUAAGAACAUCCAAGGUAUUAUCCUAAUCUAGCAUACAAAAACUAUGAAUGUAACAAGAUAGAAUACAUACCUCUUGAUGUAGCUUGAUGUCUUCAAGCUUUAAGAGCUUAGCCCCAAUAGUGUGGAAGCCUCAAGUGGAAUCACAAAUCACCAAGACACCUUGGAAUACUUUAGAGAAUAUGAUUACUUGGUUCUCUCUAGUGAAAUUGGCUAGCCCUUCUUUAGUGUAUCCCCACUAGUGCCCAUUUCACCAACCAAAGACAUCUUUAUAUAGUAUGGAGGAUUAGGGUUAAACCCUAAUACCCAUGACCUUUCAUUUCCUAGGAUCCAUGGGUUAAACACUCCAUGGACUAUCCAUGAAAGCUUAGCCCAACCUAAAUGAACUUGGCCCAUUCCAUAUAUAUAAGAGUCCAUAUUUAAUUAGUUCCUUUUGAUCACUUAAUUAAUUAUGAAUUAAUUCUUGAUCAAUACUAAUUAAAUAAUAUGAUUCCAUAUUAAUAUAUUAGAACUUAUAACAUAUUAAUAUUAAUCAUAAACAUACUAUUCUCAAAAGAUUAUCCAUAUAAAUUGUGUCGGUGAAGUGCAACCCAAAUGGACCAUGCCGGGUCGGGUCAAGUACAUACCAAAUAUAGUUAUGGACUUAGACAUUAAUCCAACAGCACCACCAUUAUGCAAUACAUCAUGAUAACCAUUAGUGAUACUGGUACAUCUAGAGGGAUCACACCCAUCACAAGUUCCUUGGUCUUGCCUCAGCCUUCCUUAAUUCGAGUAUGAAUCCUCUGCUUUCAGUAGUACGGGCCCAUACCACCUUCCAUAUCUAUCCGUACUUUCCUCAAGGUCUGCCUUGACUCCACCAAGUCCCCACUGCUGAUCUCUGCUACUCUCAUCCUAGGCUUACCCUAGGGAACAUCUAACUCCACACAAACAAGUCCUCAGCUGCUGAAGGCUUUCCUGUAAUGCCAAUUAGCCAUUACCUAAAUACAAUCACAUGCAACGAGGCUCGGAUAAUCCUUCGAGUAAGGGACUCAUCUCUACAACGGUUAGGACUCAGAAAAGAGCUGUGAAAUAGGGCCAAAUCCAAUCCUCUAAGAUUAUUCAACCCUUAUCAAAUGUGACUUAACGUAUUCACUCAAUAGCUAACUCCCAUCACUCAAAGUCCCACUAAGAACAAAGCAAGCAACAUUCAGACAGAAGGGAACGAUCUCAAGCAAUCCUAUCCUCAUAACAGGAAACUGUACUAGCAUACAAUGCUGAGCUCAUACUACCAGGCAUAACCUAACAGGCUAUCCAAUUACUGUCUACUCAAUACUAGCAUGCAAAUCUCAUAAGCUAAAGCACAUAACUCAGGCACAUAAGGCAUCAUUCCUAGAUCCUUAGUCCUAUUCUAGCAUGUUGUUCUACUGAAACUGAUAAACAUAAUAUAUACUUGUCUGGGUACUUUGGGGAAUACUUACUUGAGCUCAGCCGGUCGCGCACAUCACAAACUUUGUUCUUUCCCAAAACUCUUUUAUCUUAGCUUUUAAGAAUAAUUCCUUAUUCACAUGUAUAUGUGAGUCAAGUGAAGGACUAAGGGAUCAAGUACACAUUCUUGUGCACUGAUCAAGUCCACCACAAAAUAUCGAUAAGACUAUUUGUAAUGAUUUACUAAAGUUUAGUAAAUAUGAUUAUAAUUAUAGGUUUAAGUAUAAUUCUGAAGCAUUGGAAAAGUUUCGAUGUAUGGAAGAAUGAAUGAGAAGAAUCAAAUUAGGCAGAAGGAUAAAAGUUUCUCAAAUCUGAAAAGAUGGGAGAGUUGUAACGACCCAAUUUUCAAGUCCAAAAAUUUCUUUUUUAUUUAACUGGCUCAUAAAAACAUUCAUAAGAAAAUAUUGUGAAAUCACAUCAUCUCAUAAAACAAUGUAUCAUGUCUGAAAACCCAAGUGAUAAAAUUAGUAACAUGUCAGAGUACAAUCCCAGAAUAUCCAUAGUACGGAAAACAAUAAGUGUGUGUAUGAUGUGCUGCUACCGCGACAGCUCCUUCCCCUUCGUUGAAGAGGUACCUAAAACAAAACUGUAAACUAUAAGCACGAAGCUUAGUGAGUUCCCCCAUCGUACCACAUACCAUACAAUCACAUAGCAUACAUACUUCCGGGCAAUUCUGGGGUGCCUGACCUACCCGGUACGACCAUUCUAGGGUGCCGACCUACCCGUACGACCAUUCUGGGGUGCCGACCUACCUUUGCGCCCAUUCUGGGGUGUCGUCCUACCCGUGUCAAGCCAUUCUGGGAUGUUGACCUACCCAUGUCAAGCCAUUCUAGGGUGCUGACCUACCCGUCGGUCCUAACAACUGACCCUUGGGGACUAUUCAACCCCUACUGCUACUAUCACAUAUAUCAUAACAUAAACAUACUAUCAGACAUAUUUGGGGUGUCCAAACUACCUUUUGGUCCUAACAACCGAACUUGGGGACUAUUCCCCUCCUACUACCACUAUCACAUAUAACAUAUCAUGCCAACAUAUAAACAUAUCAUCACAUACUGUCAGACAUAUCUGGGGUGUCUGACCUACCAUUCGGUCCUAACAACCGAACUCUACUACUAUCACAUAUAACAUAUCAUGCCAGGAUAUAACAUAUCAAGUAGUAGCAAACCUAGAUGAUAUCACAAAUACAAUCAUCUAAUCAUACAACUCCUACUAGUGGGCCGGCAUUAUGGUCGUAGACCCACCGCUACUGGAAGGUAACUCACCUCGAACGAGUAGUUGCUGAUAAUCUGUGCGGGAAACCUCUAUCUGCUGCUGCUUCAGAAAUCCUCUGGCUGUAAUCCCCACAAAACACUCAGUCAGAAACCGAUAUCAACUCUUGGGGUAAAAUGACUAUUUUACCCCCAACCAAGUCCAAGUCAAAGUCAACUGUCAGUUGACCCGACUCGCUGAGUUGGGCUGUCAACUCGUCGAGUGCCUAACUCUUUUCCCAUCCUUAUCCACAACUCGACUCGUCGAGUUUGGCAACAACUCGACGAUUUCCUCCUCUAUAUGAAUAUCGAAUGAACCUUCAUCUGACUCACCAAGUUGUAUGAACAACUCGUCGAAUUCACCUUCAUCUGAUGAACAAGUUCUGACCUUGAGUCGCCGAGUUAUAUGAAUAACUCGUCGAGUUUAUCUUCAUCCAUAAGGAGAUUGCCUUGGACUCGCCGAGUCUGUUCUAGCACUCGUCGAUCCCAUGAACUCCAGGUCUAAGGCUAAGUCCAAUACAUUGGGUCACUCCUUCAGACCUUCUACAACCUUCUAACACCCAACUGAGUUCUUUUGACCCUCAAUAGAUAUGGGACUUUAUGCCUUGGACACGUCGAGUCCCAAGAACGGACUCGCCAAGUCGAUAACGUCCACACCCUAAAUCCUCGAUUUAUGAUGCACAACCUUUGACCAAAAGAUAGAUCGAAAACCCUGAGCUCGAUCUAGCACGUAAAGUUUCGAACAUUACGUGCAUGCAUCGGACUUUUGAGCCCAAAAGGAUCUAAAUUGGCUCUUAUGUUGCAUUGGACCUUCCUUGGGUGCAAAAGCAACCCAAAUCUGCCUUGUGACUCCUCCCAAGACUUAGAUCCGAAGUCUUGACCCCCAACCAUGUUUGCAAUCAUGGUUGGCUACAUCAUAUGGCUUAAAAAGUAAAUCUUCCCCAAAAAGGGAUCUAACAAACAAGCAAGCACAGACUUUAUACCUUUCAAAGACUACAAAUGAUGAACCAAACUCGAAUCCUUCAGUCUCCUCUUGAUCUUUCUAUGCUCUUCCUUCUUCCUUGAGGUCAAAACCCACUAAAAAUCACUCAAAAGCCUUAGAUCUUGCACCAAAACACUUAGGGUUUGCUAGGGAGGGUUUCUGGGAGCAAUAGGGAUGAGUGGUGGCUGAAAGAGAUGAUUAAAUAGGGUGCAAACCCUCAAAUUAGGGUUUUGUCCAGUCAGAGCCUACUCGUAGAGUCCGGGACCCAACUCAACGAGUCCAUCACUUAACUCCCGCUUCCCAUCCCGCUUCUACUCAGCGAGUGGGUCCUUCAACUCGCAGAGUCCCAGGUCAAAAAUGAAAAAUACUAAAAUGAAAAUACAUACCAAGAACCAGGUGCUACAAGAGUACUUUAGUGUCAAUUUUUGUGAUCAUCUCAAUGGUUAAGAAACCAUAUCACAAUUGGUCCUCUAAGGACAUCUUAUUGCAUUCUUAUGACUAAGAAGAGGAAUCUUGAAUUGUUGAAAUGGUUAAAUCAAGAAGAUGUGUCUUACUUCGUUCCAAAACAACUCCAAGACUGUAAGUUAGUGACAUAUCUUAAAGAAAGGUUUAAAACACUUGUCGAAUGUAAGAGUAAAAGUGUCCUACUCUUGUACAUUUGAAAUUGGUAAGUUGUGAUGUUUUGGAUAAAACAAAGACCAACUUAGGCCAAUUGUGUGAAGUGUUUGUCUUGAUAAAGAAUCCACACAAUCUCUUGAAUAUUUGGCAAGAUAGCCUUAUAUGUCAAAAGUACAGUGGGAGUCUUAAAGAUCCUGGAAGAAUUUCAAGAUCUAAUCAAGAAUAAAAGCCUAUAGUUUGACACUAGCACACGACGUGAGGUUUAUAACCUAUCGUGUUGACAUAUUCCUACUUCUGUGCCCAUUCCAGUGAAAGUUGGCUUUGCAUAUGAGUUCUAAGAGUUCUCAAUUGAGUGAAUAACAACUUGGAAGCAAUGGCAGGCCCUUGUGCUGCCAGGUGGCAAGAAGUUAAGACUACACUAGUUCGAUCCAUAUGAGUUUGGAUUUUUCAUUAAUCGUGUCUUGUGAUUAUGGUUUUGACAAAUUCACAUGGAUAGGAACACAUACACCAUAAAAUCUAAGUGUCAUAAGGUUUAUCUCCGAUUCAUGAAAAUGAUGGUGAGGAAAUGCUUUCACUAAGUAGAUUUUAGGUAGAUGGAAAGUGUGAUAUUCGCAUUCUCAAAGUCGUUAGUGGAGCGUGUGUGGUUAACCGACACACUAACAUGGACUUGUGAGGAAUGGAAAAUGGUCUAAACAAUUGAGACUAUGAUUACGACAUCUCUUUUCAUUGUUCUGAAAUUAUUUAAACACACAUGUGAGCUAUCUAAGGAAAGGUGUGUGAUAUUGAUAAACUUUUAUCAAAGCAUCUCGUAUCAGAAGUUUGAACUUUGGUAAGAAAGUCAAUAAAGUAUUGAUUUCUAGAAGUCCAGCUGAUUUCUGAGUACAUGUCAAAGCUAGUGGGAGCAUGAGUGUAUUGAUAAUAAUCAUCAUGUUAGUGGGAGCUUGAUAAUUAUGAUAAAGGUUGCAAGUUAGCAAUGUUAAUUAUAGAAAACAAAAGUUUCAAUUCGUAGAGUUGUAGGGGUUGAAAAGUUGUUUUUCUAUAAUUCAGGGUGAGGAAAUUAUACUUCAUUUCAAUUCUAAAAGCUUAGAUUGAGGUUUUAAUCAUGUUUAGUCAAGUAUAUAUAUGAAUUUUGUGUUGGAAUGGCUCAACAUAAGGAAAUUCUAUAUAUGGGUCUAUUAUUUGCAUUCUAAAUUUCGAUUAUGAUUACGACAUCCCUUUUCAUAAUCUGAAUUAUGAUAACUUGGAAAAUAGAAAUAUUGUAGCAAAAGGACUGGUCUAGUAUCAUGUCUUUAUGUGAGACAUCAUGAAUUGUGUCCCAUAUGCAUCGGAUAUAGGAUCGAUUACGUUUGAUAUAAUAUUCAUCCUUUCUAAAUUUUCCAAAUGACUGGGUCAUUAAGAAGGGAAAAGGUCUAGCAUUGGAUAUGACUAAAAGGAUUAAGCAAUUGUCGAGGACAAUCUAAGGUUUACCAAAGAUUGGUUGCUCAGGGACAAUUAAAAGUAAAGUGUUAAUUUUGGAAGGACCAUAUUGACAUAUUCCGAAAAGAGGCAACUCUUGUUCAAGAGUAAUACUCAAAAGAGGAAUAUGGAAAUGUUCCCAUAGGUGGAAAUUAUUCAUUAAAUAAGUGUAGGAUUAGGAGACUUAAUGCAAGAAGAAUGUUCAAGGGCAAUGAACUUUGAAUAUGAGACUUCGGUUCCAUGGAGUUGGUCUCCAUUGGAAUACUUUGCAAUGUAUGUUGACAAGUCUUUGUGACUUUGUGCAUAAUCAUUAAAAGAGGACCAAUGCAUAUAAGUUUAGAAUCUAACAGAUCUAGUUAAAUGGUAGGAAUUUGGAAUUCUUGCAUUUGCAGUAAGGAAUUGGGAGUGUGAAAUGAGAAUCAUUGGAAUUAUGUUCAAUCGAUCUAUUUCACAAAGUAAAGAUCAUAGACAAACUUAAUAUGCAUACUUGGUGUAUAACAUGACUAGUGUUUAGAAAAACAUAGUGUACAUUCUUGGAGCAUGGGACAACUAUUGUCUUAAUUCAAAUAUAAAGCCGAUAGUUUGAAACAGUAUGCAAUGAAUGAUGGAUAAUCAAUAUGGUGAUAAAUAAAAGAUUUUUUUACUUAUAUUCAUAAGUUUUGAGACCAUAUUGGAUUCGAUUAUUCUUGUGUUUCACUUUGCAUGUUUUGACUUUCAGAAUAACUAGGUCGUUCUUCCUGAUUGACUAAGUUAUUCAAACCAUCCAUAGUCGGUCACAUGUUGGAAGUAGAUAUGAAUCAAGAUUGUCAUGGGUUGGCUUGUAGAGGUUUAAGAUGUUGGAAAAAAUAGUGCUACAACACUCAUGAGUGCUCAUAAGUUCUGAGUAUUGGAUUCAACCCACGCUCAUUGGAAUCACUUCAUGGAUUUUAUCAUGAGUGAUCAUGAGACGAUAAUAUCUUAUAUUCUUCAAACCUAGAGAUAUGAGUUGUUACUUUGAGUUGGUUAUACAUUGAUUGCACGAAACCGCAUUGGUAACUCGAUGUUAUAAAACGUGCCUUUGUGUAUGAUUCAACAAGUAGUAUAACACGCCAUAUGAGUCGAAGUUUAUCCAUUCCUUUUCCCUUCGUGAUAAAAGCGAUAUAUGUGGGCCCCUCGAUGAUUUAAUGAUGAUACAUGUGAGUGCUUGGCCAAGCCAGGACUGAUUUGAUCUGUUCAAUCAGUCAGUCAUCAUGAAUCGGAAAUUAGGAAACAACAAAUGGACAGAGAGAAUGAUUUUAAUCCAUGUUUGAGUCCAUACGAUAAUAUCUAGAAUGGAGGAAUAUAUGGUCCCUUAUCUAAUGGACAAGUCAUUGACAAAGGUCAGAGUUCGACAGUGGCUUUUGAGAGCUACGAUUUCCAGUUGGUUUUUGAAGUCAUACGCAAUAAUAGUUUUAGGCUUAUCCAAGUGGGAGACUGAUGGAUUAGUGUCUAAGUCCCUAACUAUAUUUGGUAUGUACUUGACCCGACUCGGCAUGGCCCACUUGGGUUGCAUGGCAUCAUGCAUUUGGAUAGACUAAAAUGAGAGAAAUAAUACUUAAGGUUUGGUAAUAUAUUAUAAGUUCUAAUAUAUUAAUAAGAUUAUUUAAUUAGUAUUCAGCAAGAAUUAAUUUGGAAUUAAUUAAGUAAUCAAAAGGAGACUAAUUAAAUAUAUGGGUUGAUUGUGUAAAUCCUCUAUACUUGUAUAGUAGGCUAAUGCUCCAUGGAUUAUCAAGUUUGGCUAAAACCCAUAGGAUGCUCCAUGGUGUUUUUGUACCCAUGGAUCAUGGAAAUGAAAGUCCAUGACAAUAAGGGUUUACAUGGUGUAACCCUAAUUGUGACACACUAUAUAAGCAUCUUAUUCUUGUCACAAUCGACCACCUUGAGAGACUAUUAAGGAAUGGUGAGGGCUAGCCGAUUUCAUGAAGUGUAUCAUUUCUCUCUAAAUUAUUCCAAGUGCAUUUCAUGUUGUGUGAACCAUUUAAGGUGUCACACUUGGGGCACUAGGCUCUCGAGCUUCAUGGAGUUAAGAUACAUCAACAAGGUAUGAAUUUCUAUCUAGUUUAUUAUUCAAGUAUCAAAAGAUUGUAUGCUAGUUAGGGUAAUACCUUGGAAUAUUCAUAUUUGCAUGUAUAAUAAAGAAAACAUAGAUCCAAGGUAUUUAGGGUUGCAUGUACACUUAGGAGUGUUAGAAUGCUCAAAACUUGACAAAAAAUUCAUAAGUUUCUUUUAUAUAAACCUCUGUUACGAAUUCUUUGCAAAACAAUAUAAAAGUCGGAACAUGAUACACACAGAACUAAGAUAACAUAGUUCGAUUGACACUCAACUUAUAACCACUACUAACGACUUACCACAAUUUCACCUUUUAAACCUUAUGACAGAAUGAUACCUCCAUGUAGACCAAUAAGGCGUGCCAUCAACAACACAUCAGCAAAUCCACCACCUUCGCCACCACCAUAAUAUGACCCUGUUGUUGUCCAGGUUGCUGUAACAGCCGCAGUGACAGCCGAUAUGGCUCAAAUCCACGCAAGUUGUGCUAGUGGAUCUGGUAGUGGUGUCAACCCAUGGACACCCAAGGGAGUGUUCCUAUAAAGACUUGACCAAAUGAAUACCCAAAUCCUUUAAUGGAAGCGGGGGAGCCAUUGCCCUAAUGAAAUGGUUCAAGAAAACAUAGUCUAUUUUUGAGAUAUGCACAUGUCCAGAAGAGAGCAAAGUGAAGUUUGUUGCCUGCACCCUCUCUGACAAGGCCUUUACAUGAUGGAAUGGCCAUGUCAAGUCACUGACCCUUAUAGUGGCUAACUCAAGGGGAUGGGAGAACUUAAGGCAAUGAUGAUGGAAGAGUAUUGCCCGAGGGGCAAAGUGCAAAAGCUGGAGCAAGAGCUUUGGAACCUCGCCAUGACAAGCUUUGACAUAGUAUCCUACACUAAUAGAUUCAGCGACCUAGCAUCACUAUGUCCCAGGUGUUGGAUUAAUGUCUAAGUCCAUAACUAUAAUUGGUAAGANNNNNNNNNNNNNNNNNNNNNNNNNNNNNNNNNNNNNNNNNNNNNNNNNNNNNNNNNNNNNNNNNNNNNNNNNNNNNNNNNNNNNNNNNNNNNNNNNNNNNNNNNNNNNNNNNNNNNNNNNNNNNNNNNNNNNNNNNNNNNNNNNNNNNNNNNNNNNNNNNNNNNNNNNNNNNNNNNNNNNNNNNNNNNNNNNNNNNNNNNNNNNNNNNNNNNNNNNNNNNNNNNNNNNNNNNNNNNNNNNNNNNNNNNNNNNNNNNNNNNNNNNNNNNNNNNNNNNNNNNNNNNNNNNNNNNNNNNNNNNNNNNNNNNNNNNNNNNNNNNNNNNNNNNNNNNNNNNNNNNNNNNNNNNNNNNNNNNNNNNNNNNNNNNNNNNNNNNNNNNNNNNNNNNNNNNNNNNNNNNNNNNNNNNNNNNNNNNNNNNNNNNNNNNNNNNNNNNNNNNNNNNNNNNNNNNNNNNNNNNNNNNNNNNNNNNNNNNNNNNNNNNNNNNNNNNNNNNNNNNNNNNNNNNNNNNNNNNNNNNNNNNNNNNNNNNNNNNNNNNNNNNNNNNNNNNNNNNNNNNNNNNNNNNNNNNNNNNNNNNNNNNNNNNNNNNNNNNNNNNNNNNNNNNNNNNNNNNNNNNNNNNNNNNNNNNNNNNNNNNNNNNNNNNNNNNNNNNNNNNNNNNNNNNNNNNNNNNNNNNNNNNNNNNNNNNNNNNNNNNNNNNNNNNNNNNNNNNNNNNNNNNNNNNNNNNNNNNNNNNNNNNNNNNNNNNNNNNNNNNNNNNNNNNNNNNNNNNNNNNNNNNNNNNNNNNNNNNNNNNNNNNNNNNNNNNNNNNNNNNNNNNNNNNNNNNNNNNNNNNNNNNNNNNNNNNNNNNNNNNNNNNNNNNNNNNNNNNNNNNNNNNNNNNNNNNNNNNNNNNNNNNNNNNNNNNNNNNNNNNNNNNNNNNNNNNNNNNNNNNNNNNNNNNNNNNNNNNNNNNNNNNNNNNNNNNNNNNNNNNNNNNNNNNNNNNNNNNNNNGACUUUUAAGUAGUACUAAAGAGUACCCCGAAGAUGAAUGUCUCAAAAUUUAUUCGUUAACAUAUUCACGUAGUUUGUAAUAAAAUACUCGCUUUAUAACUCGAUAGUAUUACCGUUUGAGGUAUCCAAACUAUACCUAUUACAGUUUUAUCAAAAUGUUUUAUGUUGUAAAUGGAACCUUACUAUGCAUGACUUUGUAUUUCAAUAAAAUGACAAUGGAAAUGCUAACUAUAAACUCCUAUACACCUUGCUCAACAUGUUACAAGGUGUGAAUAACUCUUAAACUUGUUUUAACAUUAUGAGAAACUAAGCUUUCUUUGUGAGGUAAGAAAGGUCUAAAAGUGUGGGAAUGAUUAAGUGAAUCAUGAAAUCCUCUAGGGAUUUCCUUAUAUAGGUGUGACAACCGUCAAUUUUCGGUCAAGUCAAAGUCAACUAAAGUCAACAAGUCAAACCGGUCAACUCAAUUUGCCCGUAGGUACUAGAGUUUACGUUAUGUAAUUUCUAAACAACUCUCUAUUCUAAUGAGAGAUCAUAAAUCGAAAAGUGCGUACAUCUAGAUCUCCUUAACCUAAAACGGUGGUACGUGGCGAGCCAAACUGAUAAAACAAUGUUACAUACUCAUCGGGAGUAUGCAAGAUCCUUAAACAAGGCUUAACGGGGUUUACGGACCUUGCAGUGCGAAGCCGGACACUCAAAAAGGUCACCAAUGAAACCUCUCUCAAUCGUUUUCACUCCAUCUCUUCUUAUCAGAAAUCUCUCCCAAAUCUCUCUAAGUAUGUGAAAUCUCUCCCAAAUCUCUCUUUGUAUGAGAAAUCUCUCCAAGAAUGUCAAAUCUCUCCCAAAUCUCUCUAAGUAUGUGAAAUCUCUCCCAAAUCUCUCUUUGUAUGAAAAAUCUCUCCAAAAAUGUCAAAUCUCUCCCAAAUCUCUCUAAGUAUGUGGAAUCUCUCUCAAAUCUCUCUCAAAAUCUCUCUCAACUUUCUAUAAUCACUCGGGCAUCCCGAUCCUCAAAUUUGGCGAAAACAGCCCAAAAGCGGAAAUCUACGCGAAAAACAGACUUAAGGACCCGAAACCCCUCUUAGGACCCGAAAGUCCUCUUAGGAACCGAACCCUUCUGAGCCGAAGGCUGCUGAACUGAACCCGAAAGGUCCUCUCGGGCCCGAACCUCGCCUACACACCCGAACCCGAACAUUCGGCACAUUUCGGGUCUGAUCACUUUCUCCUCUGAAGACCGAAGACCGAGCCUUCGCUUCUGAGUACACCGAGCCCUCGCCCCUUCGCUUCCUCGCCCCCUUCGCUUCGCGCCAAGCAGUCUUAGGGACCGAACCCAGCCACAGGAGGACCGAGCCUCGGCCAGGACCGAGAGGUCUCGCUGGGAAGCCUCUUUUCUCCCGGUUUUCAACUAUAUUUGCGUUUUAGGCCCGUUUUUAAUUGUUUGAACAUGGGAUUUCCACCCAAAACUUUAUUUUAACAUAUAAGGACCCUUAAUUAUUAAUUAAUCAUGUUUUAAACAUAAAACCUUAUCCAAAAGAGUGGGUGAAGUACAAAGGAGGAGUGUUGACUUUCCUUUAUUCUAUGACACAAGCAACCACUCCCAAACCCACUCCAUGUCACUAUUCACCACCAGCCCAUCCCUAGUCACUUCAUAAGUCCUUUCUCAUUAUUUUCAACCAUUCCCACGUUCUUAGGGCUGGAACAUCCACCCUCUCUCCUCACACUUCAUUCAUUCUCUCAUUUUCACCAAGAACCACACUCCAAACUCUCUCAUCUUUCUCUCUCCAAUUCGAGAAUUUCAAGGCAUACUCCAAGACUUUUCUCCUACAAUUAGUAAGUAUCAUCAUCUUUCUUAUGAUUAUUACACAUCCUCCUACUCAAAAUCAUAGAUUGCUUACACAAACAUCAUCACAUUCUUGUUAGAUCUUCGAAUCUUCAAGUGAUUCUUCAAGUGUUCUUGGGUUGAACACUUCUCUUCUUCAACACUUACCUACUGAAAUCACUCAAGGUGAGUUCAUACCCCUACAUUUUCAUGUUUUCUCAAGUUUUUAGGGGGAGAAUACAAGUAAAACAACAAGAACAAAACUAAACUUUUCUAACAGCCUUCAUCAGAAAAGUUGGACCCCAUUCACGGACUGUUUUGGACAACUUAAACAUUUUUGUUUACAAAACUGUUUUAGGUGUAAGUAGUUCCAGUUCUUAGCUUUAAAAUGACUACUUGCACAUCUCCAUACGAUUUUUCUACAAUUUAUGGUGAUUUUUACAAAACUGCCUAUCAUUUCAAACACCAAUCCGGACCAGUCUGUGAUUAUGGACUUUUUCACCCAAGUUGGAGGUCAUUAAAAAUCAUGAUAAAAAUUAUGAGUAAACUAGACACAUUUUGGGAACUCUCAGAAUUUACGGAUUUAGUUUUCAACUUCGUAUGAUUUUUCUAUGACUUUUCAAAAACAGUGUAGAAAGGUUGAAAAUUUGUUAACAGCUUAUAACUUUCAUAACACUUUGUAUUAUGUUGAGCAAAGUGUAUAACGAUAAGUUCUAAAUAUUGAAUGUGUUUCCUUGUUAGUUUAUCAUCAUAAACUGAAAUAUAGUCAUUCAUGAUAAGAUUAUUCAUUCAUUUAGAACACGUAUAUUAAGCUAUAAUGAGCAUAGUUUAUGGAUUCAUAGCAUUAAAGCAUUCAUAAAAGAAUUCUUAUACAUUACAAACGUUUUGGAUAAACUAUAAUAGGUAUAGUUUAUGUAUCAUUUACUUCUCAAACUUAUUUACCAAAGGUUUUCAGUUUAGUUCACGUAAAUCUGUUAAUGAAUAAAUUUGUGAGUCAUUCCCUUCGGGUUACUUCCAAAGUAACAAAGUCAAAAAGUCCUGUAAAUUGUAACCAGAGUCUCUUGUAGGGAGAACGUGAUAGUUGUGUAUAGAUCUAUAUUGGGUUUGACAAACCCACACCAGAGCUGCUUGCAACAGCUAGACCGGCAGGUCUGUGGUGACAAGUGUCAUUUAACGGCGACGCCUGAAGAACGUCGUAUUACGAGGCCGUCUAUGUCAAGUAUGGUUAUGAUAGCUCACAUGUGGUAUUAACAAUCAUAAGAUUUACGGGUUCUAACUUUAAAUUAGCGAGUUAUGUCUAUUUAGCUCACUGAAAUUACUUUAAGUAUGGAAAAAUACUUAUACGCCUUCAUAUCAAAAAGGGUUUUAUGUCGAUUUAAAAUCACUUUUUACAUCAACAAUUACAUACUUUAUUGUAUACUUUCGGUCUUGGUAUUUAAGACUACACAUCAUUCAUUACGGGAUUUUUCUCACAUCAGAAAGGGUUUUAUGCCGAUUUAAAACCACUUUUAUAUCUUUAAGUAUGACAAAUAGUUGUUCAUUUUCGGUCCUGGUAUUUAGGACUACAUAACUUUUGUAAGGAAAAUAUUGGAUUUUUCUUGGUAUCAUACAUCUCUUUACAAAGAUCGAUUUUCAAACUCUUACUGUCAAAAGCUUAUGAACUCACCAACCUUUGUGUUGACACUUUUCAAAACUACUUGUAUUCUCAGGAAUUCAGUGAAACAGGAAAUCAACCACGUUUUGAGGAUGGGACGAUAAAUCGUCAAACAGUUCAUUUUGUAUCAUAAUGUAAUUGAUUCGAAUCAUGUAAACAUAUACUUUGGUGUAACUUUUUCAAUUAUAUUUAUGAUGGUUGUAUUUACUUUGAGCACUAUUAUACUCGUUGUUGUGAUACUCUACAUGAAGUCCUCCACCCCCGGACGUUUCCGCCAUUCUUGGUUUGGGGGUGUGAUAGAUUGGUAUCAGAGCAUUGUUUAUAGUGAACUCAGUAUAUCGAACAACAUAAGAUAUACAAACUAUAAAUGCAUUGGGACUAGAGUCUCUGAUUUAAAGUUUUCAAAACAACUAUACUUUUAGAAAUAAGUAGUUUCUUAUUAAAAGUAUACAGGCAUACAUACAUACUAAGGUCAGCAUCAUUCUAGAACAAAACAAAAGUAAUGAUUGUGGAUAUCACAGGUAAGCUCGGGGAUGUAUGGUCAGUCUUGGGAGUGGCAUAGCCUGAUCAACUAUGCUGGUCCGAGGAGUGAUUAGCACAUGCCCUAGAAUGGUUCUGAUAUGUCAACAAGUCUAAAAACUUACCAACACUACCACAAUGAAAACAUUAGAACAAAACAUGGGUUUAAAAUACUGUGGGAGUAUUUUGUAUUAUUAUAAGUGCUUAUCUGAGAACUAAAUAGAUUUUUAUCAAUAGGUCAAUAAUUGAUUAGUGGGCACAUUAAAAUUAUAUGUAUCCAGGACGUCAUAGACUUAGAAUUUGUGGAUCUUUGGUUUACUUCCUGUUCUCGUUGGAUUGGGGAUUUAGAGUUAGGGUCGCUUACUCGAAGGUCUGUCCUGUCCCAAAUACAUAUGACCGGUAUGCAUUAAACAAUGAAUUGAAGUACCUGAUAAAGAUCACCUUAUAAUUAUCUAAUUAGUACGUCUACUUAGUUAUUUCGUAUAUCCCUAUUUCUUGCGUGGAUAUCAUGGCUGGAUUUCCUUCCCCACGACGACCCGUACUACCCUAACCACGACAAUACUGAAUGACUCGGAGAGGAGCCAGAGAAUGAUCACCCAACCCCUGUGGAUGAUCACCAAACUGAAGGAUUUGCUGAUGGUUUUGACUCCGACCCUGAAGUGGAGAACCUAUCCCCGAUGACCCAUGUUCCAAAUCCCAACCCUCGUCCGGCUUUUCAAGGCCCGACGCCUCAUUGGGUAGAGUGCUUGGAACCCUGGAGCAAAGAGCAAGGCCAACCUAUGCCGUUUAAUGGAAACUGAAGCUUCUACAACAUAAGCAAAGGAAGCUCAGCAGAUAGAAUUCUCCCAAUCCUGGUCCGUAGAGUUUCCUGAAACGAGAUUCAGGGCAAAACAACUCUCUAUCGUAUCGCAGAGGUUGAUGCAAAUGCAAGAAUACAUAUAAUCCACACCAAUCGCCUUGGGCACACUCGUGAAAAGUCUGAGAAAGACCAUGAAACCUUGCUGCAAGCACUGGCUGAAACACGAACCAAAGUCAUAGAACUCCGAGUACACCAGAGGGUGUACGAAAGGCACAUGCUUGAUAUGGAGCGGCAACUAGCUGAAUUAAGGGUUCACCAGAGGGAUGACCGCCGCCAGUAGUAGAUGCCUUACUUCAUUCCAUGUUAAAAAGGGAUCGUUUAUCCUAUCUAUGUCCUAUGUGGCAUUCCCUAUGAAACCAUCUUGUACUGUAAGUACUUUUAGUUAGUCCUUUAGAAGGCCAAAACUCUCCUGCUCCGGAUAUGAUGUAAGACCCUCUACAAGGUCAAUUUUCCUAAAUUUGUGACAUCUUAAACAUCAAUGACAUUAUCUGUCGGCCAAAUUCUGUGUCACCCCUUGUUCAAAUACUCCCAACAUGCUGCCAUAGGAGCAUAUCUGAAACCCACUCUAGUCAAUUUGUUGGACUAGAGUAAUUUAGCUCCGGAAUCGUUCCCAAUCCUCUCUCCAAGGUUGGAUCAUGUUAUUCACGAACCAAUGAAACCCGGUUUUGAACAACAAACAUCGUAAGAUCACUCCCUGAACUUACUUCUACUUUGUAAUAGGACUGCAUCAUAGGGAUGUAGGUCAAACCUCCGAGAACAUACUCAAUUGGUCAUAAUAAGGACCUAGCCUGGGUCAAGUAGAAGGCUCCACCUGGCUACAGAACUACUGAAAUACAUGAGUUACCAUGCAAAGAAUCUCGUUAUGAAUUGUUUUCAGAAUGCCCUUAACGACCGAAUUGCGUUACAAAUCAAGAUAAGAUAAAACUUAGUUGGAAACUCGUGACGUAUAGCCAUUCUAGAAACUCAUUAUCAUCUCAUCUUCAAACAUUUUGUUGGGAAGUUCCUUCUUCAUAAACUUAUGGGGUGCGAUCAUACCAGCACUAAUGCACCGGGUCCCAUCAAAACUCCUCAGCCAAGCGUGUUUGGACAAACAUGAUUCUAAGAUGAGUAAAGCUUAACGCCUGUAUGAAACCUACUCCUACCCACUACCAAAACUCCAUCUCAGGAGCGUUUGCGGAAACACUAAGAAUAGUACAUCAAUGUGCCUAAAUUUAUAUAUAUAUGAAUAUAAAUCGUAAGAAUGCACUUAAGAUAACCAUUUCCACUAACGAAGUCAUUUUUCAUCGUGAAACAGAGCUAUGACUACACCAAUAAGCAACCAACCAGCUAGCAAGACGUCAACUCUGCAGAUAGACGCUGCUACUUUUCAGGCUGCAGUCACGGCAGCCGUGGCAGCCUUCAUGGCACAGCUCAAUACUAACAACGUCAACAGAAAUGGAAGCGGUACUGACAAUACAAAUUGUGGUAAUAUUCAGGAACACCAACGGGGGUCUGCCAGCGAAAAUACCUCAGGUCACAAACCUACGAACAAGAAGAGAAAGUUUUGGAACAUGAAAGAGCGCCACCAAUCUCAAAGAUUCACUAAAAGACAACAACCUAUGGCCACCCCUAACAUUACAACAGCAGACACGACACAUGCCUCGACACUAGCCACGGGGUCUGCCACCCAAACGUCGGCCAGACCAUAUAAUGGAUCACUUCUAAAGUGUAACCAAUGUGGCUUCCAUCACAAUGGGGCUUGCCGGGAGAUACAAUGUAAUAACUGCAACAGGAAAGGACAUAUCGUCCAUUUCUGUAGGGCCCGGACGCAGUACAUCGCUCCGACCCCCAAUACCAAAGUAUUUCCAGGGUGCUUCCGAUGUGGCGAAAUAGGACACUUCAGGAGGAACUGCCCAAUUAAGAAGAAUGACGGGGGAGCCGGAGGAGUGUGACAAAUGAACCAACAAGUGUAACAGGGAACCAUAUUAGGACUUUUGUAAUGUUCCAAUNUAAUGAAUUUUUAUAUACUUGCUAAAAUCCAUGACUUUCUAAAAGUAGUUAAAAUACUCCCUCGUCCAAAUCAAACCAAAGUCAUUCAUAUAUGAUCUUAGGAUCAUUACCUGUAAGAUGUGACGACUUUGUACCUACAUCGGGGUUAAAUAUAAUCAAAAUACUGAAGUCUUGAAACAAAUAAUUUCAUCCCGACUCCUAUUUCGUGUCUAGUAGUAAGAAUUGAGUGUGGCCACCCACUCGACGAUUUCACCAACAUCAACUUACAUACGACAUUCAUAUACCGCUCGAUCGUAGGGAGACCUGUCAGGGAUCAUGAUAUCAAGUAUCAUUACUGGCUGUCAAAACACGCCCACUACCAGUGCUAGAGACUAUGGUAUGAAUCAUCUACAAUAGUGAUAACAUCAAACAAAAUGAAUCACCCUAAAAAGAAACACAAGAUACUCUAUCACUCUAGUGAUCUCUUCUUGCGAACACAGCUUAACACAUGUUAUCUAAAAAGAUAUUGUGGUCAUCAUCCAAUUUUCAUUGAUAUAGCCCUCAUCUUCCUGAUUUAACGUCUACAAAAGGACCCUUCACCUAACCCCCCGAACAUCGAAACCUUCGUCUCUCAUAAACAUCCAACACGAACCUCCGGAUCAUCUCUCGCUGUGGAACCCCAAAACACGCAUCAGAGGAGUGUUGUACUUCCCGAAACCUUAUCACAAGUAUUUAUAGGAGACCUUUGGAAAUGUCGCAUGUAGCAGACAAGGUUCAAGUAUAGGAGCUUGGGACGGAUAUGGUACGAGUCCUGCUAUGAGCUUCGGGCCAAGAUUGCCCAGAGGGACGAGUAAAUGUCCUACCAUCCGAGAAGGCCUAGUCGCGUAAACCAAACCCACAUGUUUCCUACCGAGCUACAAAAACUAUCAGGUCUGAACCUGUCAAACUACCCAACAAUGAAAAUGAAGAACCAAGCUUCUCACCCUGGAAAGCUCUGGUCUUAUUCUUCAUAUAGAAAGGCAAAUUGCUCAUAGUUCCAUUGACUUCAGAGGCCCCGAUAAUAUCUCCAGUAGAAACCUUUACUAUCUACCUUCGCAUAAACGAAUAGGCCGACCAACCACAAGGAACGAGGUACCCUUCAGGAAUUGAACCUGAGAUCUGAAUAUCACCAGUCGCGAGUAUUGGAAAAGGAUGUCCGAGGACAACCCUUCAAAUUUGAUGCGGACGCUACAAGUCCGUAGUGAUACCCCUCGGAUGGGACCAACCCGCUCGCAUUAUUCUUAGGAUAUUCCAUUCUUACUAGGAUUAGUUCGUCAUUGUCAUUGUAAAUGACUUGAUUACCUACCCUCAGAGUAAGAAGGAAACCAAGGAGAGCAGCUACAACAAACCGCGAAAGCAAUACGAAUCGAGAAGCUUUACCCGAAGUUCUCUAGAUGCAAGUUUUGGAAUCGAGGACUCGAAUUCCUAAGACACAUCCUUAUCAAUGUGGAAAUCCUUAAGGACCCUUUCAAUUGAUCAAAACCAUUGAGAAACAGUCAGCACUAAAGGCGUCAGCAGGAAUACCCCAAAAUUCUGGGUCUCGCUGACUUACCGUCUUAGUCCCUUUGGGACUUCUCGUAAAUUACAGAACCCCCUUACAAAUUUGACCAUGAAGGGAGCAACCCUUGACUGGGAAGAGAAGCAAGAGGAAGAAACCUUUAGAACUCCUGGAUAAGAGACCAAAUUCCUCUGGAAACCUCACUCUGGGCAGGCUUAAUACGCUUCGAAAAGCAUGGAAAGCCAAAACCCCAGAUAAUUAUGCCUUUCGAGAUUCUAGUAAGAAUCAGCCUUGUAAUCGCAACUUCAAUCUACUCCCGCGAGCUUAGUAAAGUACAUUCUACCCGACACAUCCCGAACUUGCAGAAGUAUCUAUCCGACGAGACUCUUGUAAACCCCCCUCGACGAGAUCGAGUUCCACAAGAGCCUCACCUUCGUGAAAGAACCAUAGUGACCAUGGACCGAGAGGUUAAGCGAACGCAGCAACGCUGCUUCCCAUUAGUGAAAGUUCGCUGGAAUACUAACCAAGGACCUGGAGUCACUUGGGAGCGCGAGAAUCAGUCGAUUAGGAAGUAUCCCCACUUCAUGGCUCGAUUGUUCAUGCCCACUCCUUGCCUAAAUUCAAAAUUUCGGGACGAAAUUCCCUCUAACGGGGGGAUGAUGUGACAACCGUCAAUUUUCGGUCAAGUCAAAGUCAACUAAAGUCAACAAGUCAAACCGGUCAACUGAAUUUGCCCGUGAGUAUUAGAGUUUACGUUAUGUAAUUUCUAAACAACUCGCUAUUCUAAUGAGAGAUCAUAAAUCGAAAAGUGCGUACAUCUAGAUCUCCUUAACCUAAAACUGUGGUACGUGGCGAGCCAAACCGAUAAAACAAUGUUGCAUACUCAUCGGGAGUAUGCAAGAUCCUUAAACAAGGCUUAACGGGGUUUACGGACCUUGCACUGCGAAGCCGGACACUCACAUUCGUCACACACAAAACCGCUCUCAAUCGUUUUCACUCCAUCUCUUCUUAUCGAGAAUUUCUCCCAAAUCUCUCCAAGAAUGUCAAAUCUCUCCCAAAUCUCUCUAAGUAUGUGAAAUCUCUCCCAAAUCUCUCAUUGUAUGAGAAACCUCUCCAAGAAUGUCAAAUCUCUCCCAAAUCUCUCUAAGUAUGUGAAAUCUCUCCCAAAUCUCUCUUUGUAUGAAAAAUCUCUCCAAGAAUGUCAAAUCUCUCCCAAAUCUCUCUAAGUAUGUGGAAUCUCUCUCAAAAUCUCUCUCAACUUUCUAUAAUCACUCGGGGCCGAUCCUUGAAUUUGGCGAAAACAGCCCAAAAGCGGAAGUCUACGCGAAAAACGGACUUAAGGAUCCGAAACCCCUCUUAGGACCUGAAAGUCCUCUUAGGAAUUGAACCCUUCUGAGCCGAAGGCUGCUGAACCGAACCCGAAAGGUCCUCUNUCGGGCCCGAACCUCGCCUACACACCCGAACCCGAACAUUCGGCACAUUUCGGGUCUGAUCACUUUCUCCUCUGAAGACCGAAGACCGAGCCCUCGCCCCUUCGCUUCACGCCUAGCAGCCUUAGGGACCGAACCCAACCUCAGGAGGACCGAGCCUUGGCCAAGACCGAGAGGUCUCGCUGGGAAGCCUCUUUUCUCCCGGUUUUCGACUAAAUUUGCGUUUUAGGCCCGUUUUUAAUUGUUUGAACAUGGGAUUUUCACCCAAAACUUUAUUUUAACAUAUAAGGACCCUUAAUUAUUAAUUAAUCAUGUUUUAAACAUAAAACCUUAUCCAAAAGAGUGGGUGAAGUACAAAGGAGGAGUGUUGACUUUCCUUUAUUCUAUGACACAAGCAACCACUCCCAAACCCACUCCAUGUCACUAUUCACCACCAGCCCAUCCCUAGUCACUUAAUAAGUCCUUUCUCAUUAUUUUCAACCACUCUCACGUUCUUAGGGCUGGAACAUCCACCCUCUCUCCUAACACUUCAUUCAUUCUCUCAUUUUUUCACCAAAAACCACACUCCAAACUCUCUCAUCCUUCUCUCUCAAAUUCGAGAACUUCAAGGCAUACUCCAAGACUUUUCUCCUACGAUUAGUAAGUAUCAUCAUCUUUCUUAUGAUUAUUACACAUCCUCCUACUCAAAAUCAUAGAUUGCUUACAUAAACAUCAUCACAUUCUUGUUAGAUCUUCGAAUCUUCAAGUGAUUCUUCAAGUGUUAUUGGGUUGAACACUUCUCUUCUUCAACACUUACCUACUGAAACCAAUCAAGGUGAGUUCAUACCCCUACAUUUUCAUGUUUUCUCAAGUUUUUAGGGGGAGAAUACAAGUAAAACAACAAGAACAAAACUAAACUUCUCUAACAGCCUUCAUCAAAAAAGUUGGACUCCAUUCACAGACUAUUUGGGACAACUUAAACAUUUUUGUGUACAAAACUGUUUGAGGUGUAAGUAGUUCCAGUUCUUAGCUUUAAAAUGACGACUUGCACAUCUCCAUACGUUUUUUCUACAAUUUAUGGUGAUUUUUAUAAAACUGUCUAUCAUCUCAAACACCAAUCCGGACCAGCCUGUGAUUAUGGACUUGGUCACACAAGUUAGAGGUCCCUAAAAAUUAUGGAAAAAUUUAUGAACCAACUAGACUCCUUUUCAAAACUCUCAGAAGUUACAGAACUUGAUUUGGACAUUUUAUGAUUUUUAUACAAAUUUUCCAAUAAGAGCUACAGAAAAUGUUAUAAAUAGAAAAACACUAUAAAUUUCAUUUCACCUUGUAACAUGUUGAGCAAGGUAUAUAUAUAUCAUUAUAUGAUUAUGUGUUAUUGUAGUAUGUGACAUUUUUGUAUUCAUAUCUAGAUAUACACCAGUUAACAAAUGAAUUUUCACUAGAUAAUACAUAGAAAUAACCAAGUGUUAUAAUUAAAGUACACCCAUUACAUACAAAUGUAUUAUUAAACUAUGUUAAGUAUAGUUUAUGUACUUUACUAUUUCUACCCUUGUUUUGAUAAACUAUAAUAGGUAUAGUUUAUGAUACUUUACAAAAUACAAAUAUAUUUUCAGAAGGGUACAUUUAUAUAAGAGGGAACUUUCAUUACGUUAAGUGUAAAAUUCAUUACAAAAGCGUUUUCAUAAAAUAGUUUUUUUAUACAUUACAAACGUUUUGGAUAAACUAUAAUAGGUAUAGCUUAUGUAUCAUUUACUUCUCAAACUUAUAUACCAAAGGUUUUCAGUUUAGUUCACGUAAAUCUGUUAAUGAAUAAAUUUGUGAGUCAUUCGCUUCGGGUUACUUCCAAAGUAACCAAUUCAAAAAGUCCUGUAAAUCGUAACCAGAGUCUCUUGUAGGGAGAACGUGAUAGUUGUGUAUAGAUCUAUAUUGGGCUUGACAAACCCACACCAGAGCUGCUUGUAACAGCUAGCCCGACAGGUCUGAGGUGACAAGUGUCAUAACAGUUCCGACGCCUGAAGAACGUCGUAAUUACGAGGCCGUCAAAGUCAAGUAUGGUUAUGAUAGCUCACAUGUGGUAUUAACAAAUCAUAAGAUUAAUGGGUUCUAACUUUAAUUUAGCGAGUUAUGUCGAUUUAGCUCACUAAAAUUACUUUAAGCAUGGAAAAAUACUUGUAUGUCUUCAUAUCAAAAAGGGUUUUAUGUCAAUUUAAAAUCACUUUUUAUAUCAAUAAUUACAGAUAUUAUGGUAUAUUUUCAGACUUGGUAUUUAAGACCACACAUCAUUCAUUACGGGAUUUUUCUCAAAUCUUAAAGGGGUUUUAUGUCAAUUUAAAACCACAAUUAUAUCUUUAAGCAUGACAAAAUACUUAUUCAUUUUGGUCCUGGUAUUUAGGACUACAUGACUUUUAUAAGGAAAAUAUUGGAUUUUUCUUGGUGAUAUACAUCUUCUUACAAAGAUCGAUUUUCAAACUCUUACUAUCAAAAGCUUAUGAACUCACCAACCUUUGUGUUGACACUUUUUUAAAACUACUUGUAUUCUCAGGAAUUCAGUGAAUCAGGAAAUCAACUACGUUUUGAGGAUGGGACGAUAAAUCGUCAAAUAGUUCAUUUUGAAUCAUAAUCUAAUUGAUUCGAAUCAUGUAAACAUAUACUUUGGUGUAACUUUUUCAAUUAUAUUUAUGAUGGUUGUAUUUAUUUUGAGCACUAUUAUACUCGUUGUUGUGAUACUCUACAUGAAGUCCUCCACCCCCGGAUGUUUCCACCACCCUUGGUUUGGGGGUGUGACAAUAGGAGAGUUGCUGGAGCAAGUUGUGAGUUUGAAGUGAUGUGUGCAUUGGUUUGUGUGAUGUGGAUAAGGUGGCAAGUGAGAGGGUGACGCAUGGAAGGGAAGUGGGCACACUUGACCCACUUGUGGGGUAAUUAUCCUCUUAAGGGCUCAAGAGCCCACAAAGUUAUAGCCUCGAGUGGCUAGAAUGUGUUAUGUGUGGUAUAUUGGGGAACUUACUAAGCUUCAUGCUUACUGUGUUAUGUGUUAUGAGUUUCAGGUGUUCUCAGGAUCAUGGGACGGCACCGGCUCGAUUGUACACACCAGAGGAAGAGUUAUGUUUUGAGGAUCCUGGUUUAUUAUGCAAUUGAAUAUGGACUAAUGUUUUGUAAAUUAAACAGAAAUGAGAUUUCUACGAAAAGUGUUUUAAGAAUUAAAUGAUUAUUUUAAAUGAAAAUUGCUUUUGAAAUUUACGGUGUUACAAAUUGGUAUCAGAACCUUGGUUUUAGGGAUUCGGAUGCACCUUUGGGUAAAUCUGGACUCAAACUGAGGAAUUGAGAAAAAAAUUUCAAAGAAAUGAUUUUUCUAAAGCGAAUAAGAGUUCAAAGAGAAAACAAGAAAGAAUAGUGUGUACAAUUAGCUAGAGCCCAAACGGUGAUUUCCCAAAAUACCCUUACUUUUGUGUAAUGAGAUAUUUAUGAUACAUUUUAUGAGAUAUUAUGCAUGCUAGAGACAGGCUAGGUAUUUCAUAUCUUAGGACUAGAGUGGCCUGAUUUGUGAUGCCUUAGCCUAAGAGUUGCUAUGGUAUGUGAUGUGCUUUUGAGUAUGAGAUGAGUGAGAGUAUUCAGCAUGAAUCCUUUAGGGGAUUCGAGUAGAGGAGUAAUCUAGAAGAGGUAUCUAUAUGAGCAUAUGAGGAGUCUACCGAGAGGGUAGCCAGAGGCCAUGUGGGGCGAAGAUGUUAGAGUUCGGUGAUAUCCUUCGAGUAUGAGGAAAGUGAGUGGAUAAUAACCUAAGGAGGUUUUACGUGCUGAAGGAGAUGCUACGAUGCCUGAAUGAUGCUUGCUUCGUGCUUUGUGGAGCUCUCGAUGAUGGGAGUCAGCUACUAAGUGAAUAUGACGAUAUUCAGGAGGUAGAUGGUUGGCAUCUUUAGGAGUUCUUCAGCAACUGAUGGUGGAGAAGUUGUAGCACCAAGGAAGAGCGUAGGUAGUGACCUUAGCUAGAUGAGUGCGUUGGCAAAGUAUAGCAUUUCGCUGAGGAGCGAGCACGUGUGACGGAAUUGGUGAACGAGAAGGUUGAGCAGCUACUUAGGAGCUCUAGGAUGGUCCGCGUGGAAAGUAUGGGUAGAUGUGGUAGGUAGUAUGGGCCCGUACUACCAAAAGCAAAGGACCCAUACUCGAUACAGGGAGUAUUCUAAAGGUUCUAAGUAGCAGAUUGAGGAGUGAUGUUAUGGUUCGAGUACCAUACAUCGUAGCAGAUUGAGGACUGAUGUCAUGGUUCGAGUACCAUACAUCGUAGCAGAUUGAGGAGUGAUGUCAUGGUUCGAGUACCAUACAUCAUAGUAGAUUGAGUAGUGAUGUUAUGGUUCGAGUACCACACAUCGUAGCAGAUUGAGGAGUGAUGUUAUGGUUCGAGUACCAUACAUCGUAGCAGAUUGAGGAGUGAUGUUAUGGUUCGAGUACCAUACAUCGUAGCAUAUUGAGGAGUGAUGUCAUGGUUCGAGUACCAUACAUCGUAGCAGAUUGAGGAGUGAUGUUAUGGUUCGAGUACCAUACAUCGUAGCAGAUUGAGGAGUGAUUUCAUGGUUCGAAUACCAUGCAUGAUAGCGGAUUGAGAAGUGACGUCAUGGGCUGAGUACCAUGGGUCGUAGCAAAUGAUGCUCGUGGUUCUCCGGUUAUCCGGUCAUGAUUGAUUAGGAGGAGAUUGGACGCGAUGGGGUUUUAGGCCUGAGGGCCAUGAUUGAGUCCGAAGAGGCAUCCCUUGUGUGGGAGGUCGAGAGAAUUUCAAAGUAUUUUGGUGAGAUGUUAGAUGUAGUUGCCAGACUCCAGGAUAAGUAGAGUUGGUGUUUAUGGGGGAUUGCAGGCUAAGUUGAACAAUCAGCCACUAGAGGAGAUGUCACAUGCUGUGACCUAAGUGGUGACGUUUAUGUUCUUGUGGGAAACAUGGGAGGCGUGAGAUUUCAGUUUUGGGUUUAGGAGUAAACCCUGCGGGUUGACAUUGAUGACGAUUUUCCACCAGAGUAUCAAGCAACAUGUUGCCGCGAGGUAAUGAUUUACCAUGAGCAGGUAGUCAGUUGGGACUGAGAUGGUGAAUGACUAUGUUGCACCCUAUUUGAGUAUAGUAGGGCAUAUGGUAUCGGUAUCAGCGAGUAAUCCAGACGAGUAUAUCAGGCGAUGGUUCUUCUGUCUAAGAUGGGUAUGGAGUAUGGGAAUGGAGUCCUUGUUCUUGUGAUGAACCAUGUGUUGGAAUGUUGGUUGGGAAGUAGAGGCCGAAGAGUCUGAUGAUUUAUUGAUCCAGUCUAAGAGUCGGGGAUAUUAAUGGACGGUUGAGAUGUUCGGUAUUGGGAUGGUAUGAGACUGGAACGACUAGAGACAGUCGUGAUGGGAAGUUCCUGUGGAGCUCAUCAGAGAUUUAGAGUAUUUAAGGUUGCUUGAUCUCUUUAAUGGAGGUCGUCGGGCGUUGCGUAGCACCUUCCAGGAGUAGGUGCGAUGUCGAUAGUGGAAACAAUCUGUGGGAUGGAUGGUUUGUGCGUCAAUUGAUGAUGGUUCGGACCCCAAGUGGGGAAGAACCGGGUAUCUUAUUGAAGGGAGCAGAGAUUUGUUAAAAGAGUGGUUAGGAGGUGGGAUUUAGAGACCUGCGGUGCGGAUUCAUGAUACGAGGGUUAUUGGUGAUCGAGGAGAGGUGCAGAGCGAGAUAAUGCAUGUGGUACGUGUCUGAGAAAGAAUGAGUGUCUCGAUGGCAGGUGGUCAAUGGUAAGGAACCUGGUAGUGGCCAGGGCCGUUCCAAGUGGAAGGCUCGUAAGGAUGGUGUGCGCAGUUGAGAACUUCUGAGUCAAAGUAUGGAUUGUGUAUGCCCUUUGGGGUAGAUAGAAGAUGAUCGAGCAACCAACUUCCGGGCCGAUAUGUGUUUUCUUGUAAGGGUUUGAGCAAUAAAGGGAAGAAUGUCGGAAGAUCAUUAGCGUGUUCUGAAGAUUUAGCGAUUUCUCUGUGUUCUAAUGGAGUGUUUGGAUACACCGAAGUUGCGCGUUGGGUAAAAUGAAGAACUAAUUAUUAGGUUCAGAGGGAAUGUAUUGUUGUAUCUGCAUGAUGCUGAGAGUAGGAGAUUAGUGGUUGAGGCAGGACAUUGUGAUGUUCUGUAAUAGUGUUCUGAGGAAUCCGAGUAUAAUGCCCCGACUGCCAAAUUAAUUUUUUGUGUUCAUGUAUGCAAGUAGGGCAUAGAGUAUUUGUGUUUCCAGUGGGAUACUUCGGGCAUUUUCGUCAAGAGGGAUCAUUUAGGAAUGAAGUUUGCAACGGGAAAAAGUGUUUUGGUUAUGUCGGUUGUUGUCAGAUAUAAGGAUGUCGGAUUUAAGUGAGUGUGGGCAUCUAUCUAUGAUUAGUCCACAGAGCAUGAGUCAGAGGGAGGUUGUUGUGAAGCUAUGGGGAGCAGUAGUAUUCACUAGUCAGAGGGAGGUUGUUGUGAUGCUACGGAGAGUCGUAGUACUCACUAGUCAGAGGGAGGUUGUUGUGAUGCUACGGGGAGCCGUAGUACCCACUAGUCGGAGGGGGUUGUGAUACUGCGGGGGGUCGUAGUACUCACUAGUCAGNUUGUGAUGCUACGGGGAUCCGUACUACUCACUAGUCAGAGGUAGGUUGUUGUGAUGCUACGGGGAGCUGUAGUACACACUAGUCAGAGGGAGGUUGUUGUGAUGCUACGAGGAGCCGUAGUACUCACUAGUCAGAGGGAGGUUGUUGUGAUGCUACGGGGAGCCGUAGUACCCACUAGUCGGAGGGUGUUGUGACGCUGCGGGGAGUCGUAGUACUCGCUAGCCAGAGGGAGGUGGUUGAAAUGAUGUAGAGAGUUGUAGUAUUCUCUAGUCAGCGAGAGUUAGUUAUGAGGGAGUGCUCUUUGAUCAGAGUGACGCAGAAAGGGUUUAGGCUUGGGUAGCCCUAAUGGUUGAGUUUUGGGAGCAUGGUGGUUGAACCAAGGGAGAGACUAGGGUCUGCGUCUCUGUCGGGAAUCAUUAUUUUUUUAUUGAGUUGUGUUUGUCGCAACAUGAGGGAAUUGGAAAAGUGAUAUUCGUGCAGGGCGCAGGUUGAGUCAUAUGAUGAGUGUUUCUUUGGGUUGCGAGGUUCCGACUUUGGGACGGACCAAACUCUCGAGUUGAGUUUGGCAUUGAUGGUAUGUGGGUGAGAGAGAUGAGAUUCUGGAAUUUUGAGGUGAAUUCGGGGAUGAAGGGCAUUGUUGUCAUUGGAUGUCCUAAACCUUUAUAGGUCAGCACUCGAGUGCGGGAGAUACUGCGAGAUGCGCGGCGCUAUGUGCAGUAGACAUCGAAAGUCAGGGUUGAGUCGAUCCUCGGUCGGAUUAUAGUGUUUGUUUGAGGUAAAGAGGAUUUCGUGACUUAAGUGUCACUAGGCCGAGAUAGUCGAGACGAGAAGGAAGUUAGUGAGUCAUGUUGGAGCAUUUUAUGGUGAUGUAUGAGGACACUUCCGAGCAAGCAUGGUUAUUUCUUUUGUGUCCGAGGGCGGAGUGGUGAGGAUUCUUUGUUCGGAUGGUUUCUGAUAGCAGUUUAGUAGAUGUGCCCCAAUGGAGUGUGAACCCUUUUAUCUCGUGGGGCGUGAUUCAGAUGAUUUAGCAUGAUCAGUUAAGGAGCGAAAGCUGGUGGUUGGAUGUGGUCCUGCAAGAAUUAGAGAGUCAGUGAUGUAAUUAGGGUUGAUAUUCGAGGAGCGAAUAUCAUGGUGAUCGCUCGAGUCGGUGGUUUGGCGGGGGGUCAGGCCACUAGAGUUCCAGGCAUUGGGAAGAAGUAUUUUAGUGGCAAAAGAGUUGGUUUAAACUCUGGUUUUGGAAGUUCUACUUGGCUUCGGGUGUCCACGGAGAAAGAUAUCGGUGUAGUAUGAAGAUCAUUUCGGUAGUGCCCUUGGGUUGAUGAUUUCAAUCUAUAAGUGGCUAAGGAGUGAUUUCGAGGGCGAAAUCUAAUUCAAGUGGGGGACAAUUGUAACAUCUGGAUAUCCAGGCAUGGAAUUUUGAGUAUUUUAUUAUGGGAUAUGAAGAGACUCGGUGAGUUGAUGCCUUAACUCAUCGAGUAGGAUCGUGACUUGGUGACCUGUUUAAUGAAGGAACUCGACGAGUCAGGUAUCUAGACUCGCCGAGUCAGUGCUGUUAAGGAAAACCCAAAUUUUCCGGGUUUGAGACCUAUUUAAAGGACCUUAUAGCCCUCUUGUGCAGCUACCAGUCCAGAGAGAGAUACCCUAGAGAGCUGGAGCGAAGAGUGAGAGAGAUAAAGCCAUUUUAAGCAUUCAUGGUGUGAUUUUGCAAGGGAGAAGUCAUUUCCAGCAAAGGGAGGUCAAGGGAUUUGUUGAUUUAGAGUUCCUGAGCUCGUAUCUUCAGUGUAGAGGUAUAAAAUCGAUUUCCCUUUUCUGUUUUGCGUGAGAUUGGUGAUUUUAGGGUUUUCUACACCUUCAAAUGGCUUGUAGUGAUGAGUAUAGGGUCCCUUUGUGUGAGAGAUCCCAAAUCUGGACCCAUAGAGGUGCAUAGGGCCUUAUUUUAUAUGCUUUAUGUUGGUUCAUUGAGAGAAUGAGACUUUGAUGCCAUUCUUGGAGCCAUUUCUCCAAGGAAAGCCUUGUGAGCUUUGCAUGUAUGUCAAGCCUCGAACUUUACGUGGUUAUUGGUCGUAGGGAAGUCAGAUCUAUGGAUUAGAGGACAUAUAUGACCUCAGAAGGUCAAAUGAGUGUUGACAUGGGAGCAACUCGCCGAGUGCAUCGGGAGACUCAACGAGUCGAGUCGGGUUUCACCGCGAUACGAAUCCAGUGGAAACCCGUCGAGUGGAAGGUUCACUCGAUGAGUCGAGUGAGGCCUUAGAAGAGUCAGAAGACACACAUGGACUCGCCGACUCACCCUUGUGUACUCGACGAGUCUGAUCAGAGUUGACCGUUGAGUUGAGUUGACUUUUGUUGACUUUUAGGGUUUGGUCAACAAUUGGUCUUGUGGACCAUUUGAAGGGUAAAAUGGUCUUUUAGCCUUCUUAGAGGACAUGGAAGGGAUUAGUCUAGCCUGGAGAGCUGUUAUUGAUUGAGAUAAUUGUUCAUGUGUUUAGGCAGAGGCUAGAUCAGUGUAUACGCGUGCGAGAUUACCAGAGACAUCCGAGGUGAGUCUCAUCACUAUACUUUACCUUAAGUGGUAAUUAGAGUUUUAUGAUAGAGUAUCUUGUGUGCUAUGUAUGUGAUGUGUUGCACUACAUUAUUUCUAUGUGAUUUAUGUUGUGUGUAUUCCAGAGCUUGACAGAGUUAGGACCGGAAGGUCCACAGAGUUAGAAUCGGAAGGUUCACAAAGUUAGGACCAGAGGCCACAGAGUUAGGGCUCAAGGGCCCAUAGAGUUAUAGCCUCGAGUGGCUAGAAUGUGUUAUGUGUGGUAUUUUGGGGAACUCACUAAGCUUCGUCCUUACCGUGUUAUAUGUUUCAGGUGUUCUCAGGAUCACGAGACGGCACCGGAUCGAUUGUACACACCAGAGGAAGAGUUAUGUUUCGAGGAUCCUGGUUUAUUAUGCAAUUGAAUAUGGAGUUAUGUUUUGUAAAUUAAACAGAAAUAAGAUUUCUAUGAAAAGUGUUUUAAAAAUUAAACAAUUAUUUUAAAGGAAUUUUUUUUUUUGAAAUUUACGGUGUUACACAUAUGGAGAUGUUCAAGUAGUCAUUUUAACGGUAUAAACCUGAACUAUUUUCAUAUUAAACAGUUUUGAAAAAUAUUAAGUUUAAGUGGGGUAAAACAGUUCGUGAACAAGUCACAACUUUUCUGUUGUAAGCUGUCAGGUUAAGUUUCAAAUAUGCUUUAGUGUUUUAACUUGUAUCCUCCCCCUGAAAACUAAAGAAAACUAGAAAAUGUAGGGGUAUGAACUCACCUUUAGUGAUUCUUGGAAGAGUGGAAGGUCAAGACGAGGAGUAUCAAGUCAAGAACAUUUGAUGAACACGUAAAAGCUUGAAUGAUCCUAAGAACGAUUCUUUGGCGUUAGAGUGUGUGUAGAUGAUUCAAGGAUGUUAUGAAAAUAUGGAAUAACACUUGAGUUUAGAGGAAAUACUUACCAAAAAGUGAAGUAAUAGCCCAAGAACACUUCCAAAAGUGGUUGGAAGUUGAGAGAAACUAAGCUUUCUUUGUGAGGUAAGAAAGGUGUAAAAGUGUGGGAAUGAUCAAGUGAAUCAAGAAAUCCUCCAGGGAUUUCUUUAUAUAGGAGAGUUGCUGGAGCAAGUUGUGAGUUUGAAGUGAUGUGAUCAUUGGUUUGUGUGAUGUGGAUAAGGUGGCAAGUGAGAGGGUGACACAUGGAAGGGAAGUGGGCACAGUUCACCCACUUGUGGGGUAAUUAUCCUCUUAAUAUAAAAUAAUGAUUUUAAAUUAAUAAAUCCUUGAGAAAUAAAUAAAAUAUGAGUUGUGGGAGUUUCAAAUAGUAAAAAUAUGAAUUUGGUUAAAAAAUACCGUAAAAAAGGGCUUAGGAGGCGAAAGUAGUCGAAAACCGGGAGAAGGAAGCGAACCUGCGAGGGGUUCAGUGCUUCAGGCUAAGGACCGAGAGUGGCACUAGGAGGGACCGAAGGUAGGAGAAGGAACCGAAGGUGGAGGCUUGGGCCUGAAGGGUUCGAUUCGCAGGGUUCGGUCCGAAGGGUGGCUUCACUUCUAACAAGUUCGCCUCUGAAAACUUCGGUCCUUAUGAGAGGUUCGGCCCUGAGAGGUUCCCUCUAAGAGGGUUCGGUUCCUAAGAGGGUUUCGGCCCUAAAUUGCCGUUUUUCAAUAUAUCUUCUCGUUUGGAGUGAUUUUUGGCCAUGUUAAGGUUCGAGAUGACCCAGAUGACUAUAAAAAGUUGAGAGAGAUUUUGAGAGAGAUUUGAGAGAGAUUCCCUUUUAGCCAUUUUGUUGAAUAAUUUUGCAAUGCAAGCUCCGUGGACCCCGUUAUACUUCGUUUAUGAUUAUUUGAACUCCCCAAAAGGGUUCAUAGAUGUGUUUUGAUGCGUUUAACUCCCUUCUUAGGGUUUCACUUUGAUAAACACAUAGAUUUACCGAUACACUCGAAUUCUUGACACAUAAUUGUACGUUUUCAUAGAAUAACUUUUAAUCAUACAAGUAUUAUACAAGAUUGACCGGUUCGACUUGUUCACUUGACUUUGACUUGUUGACUUUGAAUUUGACUUGGAUUUACCGGCUGUCACAUUGUGUGAUUUUAAUUCCGCGUGUUAUCCACAUUACUUCCUAAAAAUGGUCAUUAGAACUUGACAAAUGGCGUCAUAUUCGUUCGGUGUCUUGAAAAGUAUCAUAUGGUUUUCUUUAAUAAGUGGUAUCAACGCUAUGGUAGGUGUUCUAUUGAUUAAAGAUGACAUCUCACAAAUUCCAUUUGGAGAAGUUCAAUGGUUCGAAUGAUUUCACUUGAUGGAAGGUAAAUAUGAAGGCUCUUUUGGUUCAACAAGGACGUGCAACGAAACUGGAGGUAGAAGCGAAAUUACCAAAGGACAUUGCGACUAAAAGGAAGGUGGAUAUUCUGGCAAGAGCGUAUAAUGUUGUUCUGUUGAGUUUGACAAACAAAGUAAUGAGAAAGUUUAUGGAUCAAACAAGUGCAUUUGGGCUUUAGGAGAAGUUGUGUAACAAGUAUCAAAAUAAUUUUUUGACAAACAGGUUGUAUCAGAAGCAAUGUUGUUAUCCUCUUAUGAUGUCGUAAAGCACCCAAGUGACGGAUCAUCUGGAUAACUUCAACAUGAUCAUCUUGGAUUUAUAAGGUGUGAAUGUAAGGAUUGAAGGUGUGAAUGUAAAGAUUGUUACGACUCAUUAGAUUAAAAAAUUUCAAAAAAAUAUGAGGAUUUAAAUGCACUACAAAAAAAUUAUAUACUGGAUUUUUUAAUCCUUUCAUGAAAAUAGAUAAGGUUUUUCUAAGUGUAAAACCUUAGAUAAGAAUUUCAAAAAAUAUAAGGGUGUUUGUGCACUAAAAAAUAAUAUAAUGCUUUUUUUAAGCAUUUUAUGAAAAUACAUUGGAUUUUUAUGAGGUUUUCCAUAUAUAUAUAUAUAUAUANNNNNNNNNNNNNNNNNNNNNNNNNNNNNNNUAUCUAUUCUAUAACCAUGUAACCUAAUCAUGACCAUUGGAAUAGUGAAAAAAAAAUCAUUCUUGAAAGAAUAUAACUACAUUUAUUAUUUAUUUUUUAAGAAUUCGAAUUUCAAAUCUAUCUAAAGGAUAAUAUGGACAUUUUGUAUAUACUUAAUUUAGGAAACAAAAUAAUCAAAUCCGGAUUUAUAGAUGUUUAUUUAUUUUUAUUUUUUAUUUUUGUAAAAACACAAACAUUAUAGGAGAAAUGUUUUUGAAAAAAGUACAUAUUCUUGACAGAAUGAGUUCUCAUUCUUAAAAUAAUAGGAUUUUUUUUAGAGUAAGGCAUUCAUAAAGAAAUAUCAACAAUAACACUUUUCAUGAUUCAAUGAAUACAGUAUAAUCCUUGAAUAUUUCUAAAAUCGUGAAAAAAAUUAUAUGUUAUAAAAAAUAAAACAUAAAUUACAAUUGUACAAGUGACAUUCUCAUGAAAAAUGAUAAAACGAAAGAAAUAAAACAUGAAAAAAGAGACGACAUUUUAGUAAGAACGGAAAAAAUUACGUUUACAAAUAUGUUAUUUUUGAAAAUAUACGAAAAAUAGAGACAUUCUAAAAAUAAUACAUUCAUUCUUUCAAGAAUAACCAUCAUCUUGAAAAUGCCUACCAACGAGCAUAGUUGACUCCGUUUUUGAGGAAGAUGAUCGGACCAAGGAGAAGUUGAUCUUUGAUAGUGAAAUUGAAUAGAAUAGCCUCACAAAUCAAAUGUUUCAAGGUGGAGAAGCGGUGGAGGGCCAAGCCGAAGCUUGUUUCGAAAGAACUCAAACUGACGCCGAGGAAGGCUUUUAGUGAAAAUAUCGGAAACUUAAAGUUUGGAUGGUAUGAAAUUAGUGUAGAGUUUUCCCGAAGCAACAAGUUCAUGGACAAAGUGGUAAUCUAAUUCAAUGUGCUUCAUUCUCUUGUGAGCGACGGGAUACUGAGUUAAGAAGAGAGCACCCUGAUUGUCACAUAGGAGAGUAGGUCGGACUGCGAGAAGUGUUGAGUAGUUGGAGCAUUGAGGAACUGGCUAACUUGAUUAAAUGCAUAUGAGAUAUCCGGUCUCGUGAUGGUAAGAUAUUGCAAUGCCCUUACAAUCGACCGGUACUGGGUCGGAUCCGAAUAUGGGUCACCGGAUGAUGAGAUAGAAGUUGUUGGCGAAAAGGGAGUGGGUGCCGGUUUUGCAUCAAGCAUCCGAGCUCUUUCAAGAACAUCUUUUGCAUAUUUAGUUUAGCUAAGGAGCAAACCAUCGUUUAUAUACGUGACUUCAAGACCAAGGAAGUAAUUGAGCUUUACCAAGUCUUUAAUAGCAAAUUGAGUGUGAAGUUGAGUGAUGAAUGAUUGGAUCACCCCAUCCUGAUUUCCGGUCAAAAUUAAGUCAUCGACAUAUACCAAAAGAUACAUGAUACACUCGCCACAUUUGAAGAUAAAGAGAGAAGUAUCAGCCUUGCUACAAGAGAAUCCAUUGGAAAUUAAAAACGUGCUUAGUCGUUGAAACCAAGCCCGAGGGGCUUGUUUGAGGCCUUAAAGAGCUUCGUUUAAUCGGCACACAUGAUUAGGAUAGUGAGGAUUAACAAACCCAGGAGGUUGCUCCAUGAAUAAACACUCCUGAAGCUGCCCAUGCAAAAAUGAGUUGUUAACAUCAAGCUGAUGUAAGGUCCAUUUGUGACGAACAGCGAGAGAUAGAAUGACCCGACUGCUGGAAGCCUUAACCAUUGGGCUAAAAGUGUGGGAGUAGUCGAGACUAGGAGUUUGACUAAACCCUUGAGCGACAAGGCGAGCUUUCUGUCGCUCAAUGGUGCCUUCAAAAUGGAACUUUGUGCAAAACAACCAUUUGGAUCCCACCACUUGCUGAUUUAAGAGUCAAGGAACAAGGCACCAAGUGUUAUUUUUGUGAAGAGCAUCAAGUUCACGUUUCAUCGCCUCAACCCAUUGAGAUUGUUUUAGUGCAGUGUGCACAUUCUUUGGGUCACUCGAGGCAAGUAAAGCAUUGUGUAAUGGAUGUUGUGUGAGAGUGGAGAGGUCAGCAAAGUGACGAGGCUUGAAAAUGUCGGCCUUGGCACGAGUGGUCAUAGGAUGGGUAGAUAGAGAAGGUGGGGGAGUUGGCGGUACAGGAAUAGGAGUGGUAGGAGUCACAGACUGUUGAGAGAGGGGGGAUGAUGGGCUUAGGAGGAUUCAAUGGUUGGGCUAGAGGUGGGGAUCGAGAUCGGGCUUUGGGGUGGUCUUAGAUUAGGGUUUGGAGUGAUUUUGUCAGGGAAAAAUGUGAAUGGUGAUGAGUUUUCAGUAUUCGUCGGUUGCAUGGGGGUGAUGGGAGUGAUUGGGCGUGGCAGGAAUGGAUGAGGGUGGUAUAGGAAUGAGCAAAUGUCUAGAUUUGAGAUAGAGCUGGGUGUAGUAUUGUCCCUAAAUGGGAAGACAUGUUCAUCAAAUCAGGCAUGUCGGGAAACAUAUAGCCGAGAUAUGGCAGGAUCAAGGCACCAAUAGCCUUUAUACAUGGGCCUAUAUCCAAUAAAAACACACGGUAUACUACGUGGUGCAAGUUUGUUUUCCGAGCAAUCAUGUAGGUAAGGAAGGACCUAACACCCAAAGGCCCGAAAUGUUGAGUAAUUUUGUGGUGUGGAAUGUACAAUCUCAAAUGGAGAUUUCCCAUCAAGAACUUUAGUGGGCAGUCUGUUAAUGAUGAAGACGGCCAAUGAAAAGGCAUAAAACCAAUAAGUUGAGGGUAGGUGGGCAUUAAACAUCAUUGCUAAAUCCAUUUCAACGAUGUGACGGUGUUUUCGUUCGGCCCGCCCAUUUUGUUGCGAAGUAUACGGGCACAAGAACCGAUGUAGGGUGCCAUUUUCUUCAAACGUUUAUGUAACAACCCGAAAUUUUAAUUGUAUUAAACUCCGCAAUUAAGAAAUCCAAAAGUUAGCCAAAUUUAUCUCAAAAUAUUUUUGGCUGGAUUUAAGCCCAUUGGAAUAUUUUAAAUAAUAUUCGUCAAGCGAACCAAAAAUAAGGAAGUAUAAUUUAAAGUUACUGGCUUUAACGUAAGUCGCGAAACUCCAAAAAUUUGGAGUUUACGGGAGUAAACUCAGAGUUUAGACCGUAAACCCCAAUGACUAUAUAUAUGGCACUUAGCCAUUUUUCUUCAUUUCUUCCAUUUCAAGCUAGAGAAAACCCAAUUUCUCUCCCAAGGAUCGUCAAGAUUUUGUCCCCAACACUCGUAUAUGUAAGUUCUUCUAUCCUAGCGUACAUUAAAGCUUUUUAUACUUCCAUAUGUCAAGAAAUCAUCCAAGAAACACCAAGAACAAGGUGUUUACGGUCCAAGGUGUUCUUGGACAGUAAACCCUAAAAUGGGUUUCAAAGUGUGCCUUGGUUCAUUCUAAUCCUUGACAACUAGCAUAGAUCCUUUCCUUGAUGAUUUUAGCACUCGAAAAUCAUCAUUUCCCCAUGUUCAUGUGAGUUUACGUUUGGGGAUCUCCCAAAACCGUAAACACCUCCCAAAGGGUGUUUUGAUGCCCUUAACACCUUAUGUGGCUUGUUUAUGGGACUAGAACCUUGCAUUCUUAACCUAGAACCACCAAAUCACAAGAAAAAUUGACAAACAUGAGUUUAGGGCUGUAAACCCAUGUGUUUACGACCAUAAACUCCCCAAGGAGUGGUUCAAAAACCGUAAACUCCAUAAAGUGUCCAUUUAGAGCCCUAGUCACUUCCAUAGCCCUUGAUUCGAGUCUAGCAUAAUUCCUUGAGUGAGAUAAGACCUUUAAACAUCCCAUGGCAAAACUACCAUGAGUUUACGGCCGUAAACUCAUGGGGGUUAUGGUCUAGAAACCGUAAACACCCCUAAGGGCCACCAUUUGAGGAGUAAACUCUAAUGUGAGGCCAUACUCUCUUUAUAUGAAACCCUUGGUACUCCUAGCACUUGUAGCAAAGUGUUUCCAUGCUUUAGGAUGACCUUAAUUGCAUAAUUGGUUGUUAAAUGACUAAUUAGAUACUUAAAUGUAUCAUUACAUGUCAAAUAGGAUUCGCGUGUGUGGUCAAGUCCUCACUUGACACUUAGCAUCCUAUAUCGUUCGUUCAUCCGAAUCACCCACGUCAGGUGAGUUCAUACCCCCGAAUUAACCUUUUAAAUGAUUUUAAAUGCUUUUAUGGGGGGAUACAAGUUGAACUAUAGAGUUAUUAUAUCAAUCACAUGUGAUUAAUAACUGUAUUGCAAAUGGAUUUUUACAUGUUAAACUGCUUCAUCCAACAAAAGGUUUUCCAAUAUCAUUUUCAAAUCUUGUUUAAAGUAUGAAUUUCUCUUUUAGAUUAUCAAAAGUAUUCCAAAGGUUUUCAAAGCUUGCUUUAUAAACUGACAUCAAGUCUUCAAUUCUUAUUUGUAAAGAUUUUCCAAAGGUUUUACCAAAGUAUUCUUCUAUGCUUUUAUUUCGUUAAAUGCAUGCCUAUAUUUGUAUAGUUAUAUAAAUAAUGUUUAAAGGACUUAGAACGGCUAGCUCACCUUAUUUCCUUUUCCUCGUUGGAUUGUGGUCUGGUGGGUAUCGGUUAUUCGUCCGAAGGUCGUCUAAAUAUUAGUUAUAUAUCAUGUAUACAUGUAUAGACAUACAGGUUUCCAUCAACCAGUUCAUUUCCUUUGGGUAGCAAAGGCAUCCUUCCAUUCAUCAUUCAUAUACCGGAAACGUUAGUAACUAUUAUAGGAAUAGUUAGGAGAUUCUAUUUACUCUUUCUAGUUUGAAGAAUUCCACAAGAGUCAGUUUAUUCGUAAGUCUAUACUAUUACUAUACUACUUUAAAUAGAAUGCGACGUACUAUUUGCUUAUACGCCGCUUCCAAGCGCCAUCGCUGUGUAACCAUAGUCUCCUGGAGGGAGAGCGGGCAUCAUGUGUAUAGAUCUAUGCGGGACAGACACUCCCACACCUUGACUGCUAGCUACAGUCUGAGCCGGUAAGGCCCAAUGGGUGACAGAUGUCACCAUACAUCGCAUGACCUGGAGGGUCAUCAAGGAUUCGAUCGUCAAUCAGCAUGGCUACAUACGAGUUCACAUUCACCCUUUUAUUUAGACUGAGCCAGGCGUAUCGUUCAUUCGAUACCCUCCUAGAGUCUACGUUUUCCCUUGUUUUAGACUUUGCUAGAUGUAUCGUCCAUUUGAUACUGUCUGGAGUCUGUGUUUCUUUGUUUUAGACUUUGCUAGUUGUAUCGUUCAUUCGAUACUGACUAGCGUCUGUGUUUCUUUGUUUUAGACUUUGCUAGCUGUAUCGUUCAUUCGAUACUGUCUGGAGUCUGUGUUUCUUUGUUUUAGACUUUGCUAGAUGUAUCAUUCAUUUAAUACUUUCUGGAGUCUGUGUUUCCUUGUUUUAAACUGAGCCAGGCGUAUUGUCCAUUCAAUACCCUCCUGGAGUCUAUGUUUUACUUAUUUUUAAACUUUGCGAGGCGUGGCGCCUGGAGUCUAAGUUUUGUUUACUUUUAAANUUAGCCAACAGUGUUUCUGCUGAGGAAAAAUAUGAUUUUCCCUUAUUAUUUUUACUUGAGGCUUUUCUCAUAACUCCUUUAAAGUAAAAACUAUAUUUUGAUAAUGAUAGUACUUUGGGGAAAUUACUCCUUAAACAUAAACAAUUGGGUCUUGGUAGAAGACUACCUUUAUUUAGAAAAUAUAGGAUUUUCUGGAAGGAAUUCUAAUACUCUAAAGAUUCUAAACCACCAUCUUUCCUGAGCUUAUUUUGAAGUAAAAUAUGUAUUUAUACUAAUGUCAUUAAAUACUUAUGAACUCACCAAUAUUUAAAUAUGUUGAUACUCGCUUUCAAAAUGACUUGUAUUCUCAGGUCAUCGAUAGACAGGUACAUCCCGGGAGCUUUUGAGAAGACAGCCUAGUACCAAGCUGCAUCUAUGUUAUUCUCUGUAUUUACUUUGAUGUUUCUAUGAAAUGUAACCUAUGAAAAGUUAUUACUAUUAAUGCAAUGGUUGUUGUACUUUGAUUAAUAUACUACAUAUGUUGUGAUACUUGACAUGACGUCCUCCACCCCAGAACGUAUUUCGCUGUUCUCGGUUUUGGGGUGUGACAGAUUGGUAUCAGAGCAUUGUUUAUAGUGAGCUCAGUAUAUCUAAUCAUAAAAGAUAUACAACCUAUAAAUACAUUGGGAUAAAACACUAUGACCAAGAAUUAUACUUUAAAAUAUAACCUUAUUUUACAAAAGUAUAAGAACAUCCAAAAUCUAAACUCCCGAACAAAGUAUCACAAGAAGAACAAGAAUAAAAGUCUUCGGAUGUUGACGAUUACCGUCAACCCUGGGCAGUAAUGUAAUCAUAAAUUGGAAUAAAUGUAACCUGAUCAACUACAUUUAUUCGAGAUGCGACUACCGUGUGCUUGGGAGUGAUGGUGGUGUUGCAACCAAUCUGAAACUUACCAAAUAGGAAUGCUAGAGCCAAACAUAAAGUUUAAAAUACUAUGGGAGUAUUUUAGGAUACUAAAAGACUCACAUUAAUCCCAGAAUCAUAAUCAGAAGUUAAGAUUCAAACAAGUAAUUAAAAUACCAUAGGGGUAUUUUAGGAUCCUUAGAUAACCUUGUGUGAAAAACUAUAAAGAUCCUUAUUGAUAUACCUAUGAUUACAGAGGGUGUACUUCCAAGGUUAUAUAUAGUAAGGAUCCCAUAGACCAAGAAUGUGUGGUUUCUCUCUACUUCCUUUUCCUCGUUGGGAUGUGGAUAUAGAGUAGUAUCACAUAUUCGAAGGCCUAUCGGAUCUAAGUUAUAUAUGAUUUUUGUACCCUAUGUAAUUGUAGCAGGACUCGAUAUGGAUCACCCAGGGAAAUGUUUUAAUAAUCUCUUAGGAUUCUUUAGACAUUUCCAUUCUCACACGAAACCCUUUAGAGAAACUUAUCCACUUCAGUGUACGACAGAAGAGUUGAUUCAGACCCAGAAGAGGUUUAUUGAGAAGAUUUCCAGUGCGGAAAUAAAUGAACUAGGACAAGGCUAUGGAAACCACCAAGUGCCUAUACCUUUUAGGGACAUCGGUGGGAAAUUCGCCUGAAGUUCCAAGAUUUCCAGUCAUCCAUCAUGAAGCAAUGACACUCAGGAUCAGGAUCAGAAGUAAGGCAGUGAUGACACUCAGAGACAGAAUCGGAAGUAAGACGGAGUAGAAAUUCAAUAUGUCUACUCGAGAAGAGAACCAUAGGUAACUACCCAAAGAAAACCAACGCUGGUCCCAGUCAAGGAUAAGAGGUAGACAGAGGGAGCCAAUACAUGGAACCUGAGAAGUGUCUUUUCCUCGUUAUCGUCGCGCUAAUACACCCAUAAAAUAAUACAAUUUAGUGAGUUAGUGAUUACACUACUCACACUAUGUGCUAGGCAAAUCGCCUUUCCCCGUCGAAAGUAAUACGAUUAGAUCGGAUCCCAAAACUUCGAUUGAGAGUGUGUAGCCAUAAGUCUUCAUGAGCCUUUCUUCCAUGAUUUUCGUUCUGAACUGUCCUCAAAUCUUUCCAAAGCCGGAGAGCAAAUCUCUCCAGUAUAAAGAUAACUUAGUAGGAACGACUCCCAUCUUAUAGCUUUCCGAUACUCUUAUUCCUACCUUGAUACCCGAACUACAUCAUAGGGAUGUAGGUCGACACUCAGAUAACCAAUAUCCGAGGCGCGGGAAAAAUUUAUGCCUAUUAUAGUAAGAAUAGAUACGUCUAGAGUUAAUCAUCAUCUCUCAUCGCCUUGUGUUCCUUUUCGUGUAGGAAAAACCAUGCCUCCAAAGAAACGUAAGCAACCCGCUGUCAAGACACCGACUCUCUUAUUCGAUGAAGCUGUGUUUCAAGCUGCAGUUUCAGUAGCCGUAACAGCUGUCAUGGCUCACCUGAACGCUAGCAAUGCCAAUGUUAGCAGGAGCCUUAUAGGGAUUUCCGAUUAUAGCAAUGGACAACAGCAACCAACACCCGUGUACCCAGCCACCCAAGAACCUCAACCAAAUCCACUGAAGAGAAAGUUCAAGAAUGAGGAAGGAAGUACCUCGGCUCAAGGACCUUCCGAAGGGCAACGAGCUGAGGUAGUCAAUACCCCUGCCAACCCUUCCAUCCCGACACCUAGAAGGCCAUACCUAGGAAACCUCCCCCAUUGCAGCAAAUGUAGCUACCAUCAUCAUGGUAUCUGCCGCUCUUUUGUGUUAGGUGCAACAUGAAGGGGCAUACCUCUCGUACCUGCAGAGCCCCGGUUGAGCUCAUUACAUCAACCACCAAUGUGGGGACCAGUCUAGUAUGCCACCUAUGUGGUGAAAUUGGACACUUCAAGAGGGACUGCCCAACUGAGGGAAACGACAAGGGCACAGGAGGAGUAUAACCCUAAUGCCUAGGGAGAAGCGUCAAGGAACCCAGUAGAAUUUUGGUACGUCUCUCUCGAUCCCGAGUAGUUAACCGAGAACUUUAAUAAAUCAAUUCUAACUGUAAUUACACUCUCGUUAAGGCGAAAGUCGCAGCACUGUUGUAAAAUUCAAAAAUCCAUCAGGUAAAGCUAUAAUGGCACGAUAUAUACGUUAAGGCCAUGUAUAAUUAAGAUUGAUAGACCUCGAGUGAGUGAUGCUGCCUUAUUUCCUGUUCCUCGUUGGGUUGUGGAUUUAGGGCAGAGUCGCUCCGUCAACAGUCCUUUCCACCUUAAUUAUACAUCACUAGUGUAUACUAGGCGAUUAUAGAGAGACCUCGUGAGAAAUCCAUUCACGAAAAGUACAUUAUUCCGAAACAUCAGGACCCCCUAGAGUCCUGCGUCGAUUCCAUCGGUCCAAGUAUCCGCGACAGUGCUACCAUGGACAAAACUUGAGACGCCCAGAACUUGUGUGCCCGUUCAGCACAUGGUCCUAUCGACCUUCAUUCCAUAUCAUGUCGAUGUAUGGCUACUUCGACGCAUCUAUCAAUCAUGGUUCGACUUAGUGCAACCAUGUGUAAAUUCCUAGUGUUAUGUAAAGAGAACUUUCACCAUAUCCAUUUUAGCAAAUAAAGGUUCUUCCGAACUUAAUAAUAAAACCUAAUGCAAUCCGUCGGUCGUCUCUCUUAUCUAAAACCUUCCGAUAUAACCAGGAGAAGGGUAUCGCGCGCUGUUAACCAACCCCUCCUUAGACAGAUAGAACCCAAAGCGAAAGACACUGUAGGUAUUCCAGAAGACGAUAACCACCCGAAACCUACUCCGUAGGUCCCCCAGAAAGACCCUUAGCACCUCACAAUCGGAUUUGUGAAUCAAGAGAAGGAACUCAUAGGAUUAACUUGCUACUACUGAGUAUAUGCAUUAGAGAGGUAUAUAAUUUAGAUCAAUAAGAUUUAAGAUGUGUGCUUCCUCCCUACCCCCUGUUCCCUGUUUGGUUGUGAGUCUGGGGUGGGGCCACACAUCUGAACAUCCCAUCAUUCUCAAUUAUACACGACUUGCAUACAUCGAGUAUUAGUGAUUAAGCCGAGUAUGGGGAUUACCAUGAACCUUAUAAUAAGACCCUUCAUCCUGUCCCAUAAAAAAGGAACUUGAGUCAAGAGAACCACUACGGGUUGAGCUACUAAAAUAACCACAAAUGGGAAAUUUUCGUCAUCCCGGUUGAGCCAACAUAGUAGCUAACAUCCUCGGCUAGGAAAAGUAACUCGAGUCGUAAGAGUCAAACAUUGACUAUGAGUAUCCAUUCGUGCCUAACCCCACGAAUUAAGCAUCUCCGCAGAGAUCCCGGAAACCCGGGAGUUGUAAUAGGUUAAACUAUGAGGAGAAUGGAUGAGGAAAUUAUAAGACCCGAGUGACGGCACCCUACACUCUCUAGAUUUAAAUCUAGAUCGAGAAAACUCAAAAACACCGGAAUAGUAGUUGUAAAGGAUACUCGCACUACUCAGGCAUUUCGUCCAUCCCGUUACAGAAGAGUAGUGCCUAGGACACACCACCUUCUCAUGCGAAAGAAGUCACCAUCACCCUUUAGACGAUCGACCGCAUUCACCGAAGUGAAUACUAGAAUGCCAAGAACCAUAGGAUAACCUUCGUGACCAAGGAUACUUGAGGAAAGUAAGCGAUAAGUUGUGUCAAACUACGUAACCCAGGUCGUAAGGAGAUUUUAGACUCGACACCGGUCUGGGUGCUAGUCGAUGGGUUAUACGAGAGCACGCGCUUCCUAUGAGCUGGAGAGAGUCCCGACACCUUAUGUGGGCAUGUCUUAGAGAGUCGUUGGGGCUAUUAGGUGUUCCAAAGGAUACUAUUUGUAAAGAAAUGGUAGAACCACCUCCUGAAAUAAUCCAGCACCUCAGGAAAUCUCUAAGGGCUAAGCUAGCCCUGAUCUGAGACUGAUAUCCAUGAAACAGUGAAGCGAGUAAGAGAAUGAUUCUUUCCUGUUAGGAAUCAUACUGUGAAAGCAUCUGUUAGACAAUAAUGAUAAUUAAAACCUUCUAAACAUCGUUCGGUAAAAACCUAUCCCACCGACUUUGAGAGUUCCCAUUAGAAACACCUCGAGAGUCAAAAGUGCAGGACCAUUUUUGCACUAAAUCGAGAUAGAUGUCCUGUAAACAAUAGAUACCAGUGCGUAGCCAAUACAUCCGAUGAUCCAGAAAACCUCUGAAAGCCAAUCAGUAGGGAAUACGAAUCCGAAGACGACAUGAGUCUUCUAAGAACCAACCCGAGAACUACACCCCCGAUAUGAGAGAACUUUUGGAACUUCAAAAUGGCGAUCACGCCAAUGAUGAUCUCACCAUAGAAGUACAUUAUGUUCUAAGUACUAAAAAGCUCUAUCUUUCCGAGAGCUUAGAACCAUCCGAGAUUCUUUAUAAGAAUUGGUCCAACCCUUGUCAGACCACGACUACUUUUGGAAUUCCAUAAAUUCCACCGUGGUCUAUUCGUGUCUCCAACAUGAACAAGAUGUUUGUCCGACGUGACUUGUAAAAUCCCACUUGUCGUGAUAGAAAUCAUUGGGAACCCUAAAUUCGUAGAGGAACCUGUAGGAAUCAUGAAUCGAGCGAUCAAGCGAACGAAACGAAAUUCGCAUCCAGUUAAGUGCAGGUUCGCUAGAACGCCAAGCAAAGACCGGAGUUCACUUGGGAGCACGAGGACCAACCGAAUAGGAAGUACCCUCAUCUCUUUACUCGAUUUUUCAUGCCUACUUCCUUGCUUAAACUCUAAUUUCGGGACGAAAUUCCCUCUAACGGGGGGAUGAUGUGACAACCCGAAAUUUUUAAUUGUAUUAAACUCCACAAUUAAGAAAUCCAUUAGUUAGCCAAAUUUAUCUCAAAAUAUUUUUGGCCGGAUUUAAGCCCGUUGGAAUAUUUUGAAUAAUAUUCGUCAAGCGAACAAAAAAUAAGGAAGUAUAGAGUUGUCGAGUUUAACGUAAGUCGCGAAACUCCAAAAAUUUGGAGUUUACGGGAGUAAACUCGGAGUUUAGACCGUAAACCCCAAUGACUAUAUAUAUGGCACUUAGCCAUUUUUCUUCAUUUCUUCCAUUUCAAGCUAGAGAAAACCCAAUUUCUCUCCCAAGGAUCGUCAAGCUUUCGUCCCCAACCCUCGUAUACGUAAGUUCUUCUAUCCUAGCAUAUAUUAAAGCUUGUUAUACUUCCAUAUGUCAAGAAAUCAUCCAAGAAACACCAAGAACAAGGUGUUUACGGUCCAAGGUGUUCUUGGACCUUAAACCCUAAAAUGGGUGCCAAAGUGUGCCUUGGUUCAUUCUAAGCCUUAACAACUAGCAUAGAUCCUUUCCUUGAUGAGUUUAGCACUCGAAAAUCAUCAUUUCCCCAUGUUCAUGUGAUUUUACGGUUUGGGGAUCUCCUAAAACCGUAAACACCUCCGAAAGGGUGUUUCGAUGCCCUUAACACCUUAUAUGGUUUGUUUAUGGGACUAGAACCUUGCAUUCUUAACCUAGAACCACCAAAUCACAAGAAAAAUGGACAAACAUGAGUUUACGACUAUAAACCCAUGUGUUUACGAUCGUAAACUCCCCAAGGAGUGGUUCAAAAACUGUAAACUCCAUAAAGUGUCCUUUUUGAGCCCUAGUCACUUCCAUAGCCCUUGAUUCGAGUCUAGCAUAAUUCCUUGAGUGAGAUAAGACCUUUAAACACCCCAUGGCACAACUACCAUGAGUUUACGACCGUAAAUUCAUGGGGGUUAUGGUCCAGAAACCGUAAACACCCCUAAGGGCCACCAUUUGAGGAGUAAACUCUAAUGUGAGGCCAUACUCUCUUUAUAUGCAACCCUUGGUACUCCUAGCACUUGUAGCAAAGUGUUUCCAUGCUUUAGGAUGACCUUACUUGCAUAAUUGGUUGUUAAAUGACUAAUUAGAUACUUAAAUGUAUCAUUACAUGUCAAAUAGGAUUUGCGUGUGUCGUCAAGUCCUCACUUGACACUUAGCAUCCUAUACCAUCCGUUCAUCAGAAUCACCCAUGUCAGGUGAGUUCAUACCCCUGAAUUAACCUUUUAAUUGAUUUUAAAUGCUUUUAUGGGGGGAUACAAGUUUAACUAUAGAGUUAUUAUAUCAAUCACACAUGAUUAAUAACUGUAUAGCAAAUGGAUUUUUACAUGUUAAACUACUUCACCCAACAAAAGCUUUUCCAAUCUCGUUUUCAAAUCUUGUUUAAAGUAUGAAUUUCUCUUUUAGAUUAUCAAAAGUAUUCCAAAGUUUUUUCAAAGGUUUUCCAAAGGUUUUCAAAGCUUGUUUUAUAAACUGACAUCAAUUCGUAAAUUCUUAUUUGUAAAGAUUUACCAAAGGUUUUACCUAAGUUUUCUUCUAUGCUUUUAUUUCGUUAAAUGUAUGCCUAUAUUUGUAUAUUUAUAUAAAUAAUGUUUAAAGGACUUAGAACGGCUAACUCGCCUUAUUUCCUUUUCCUCGUUGGGAUGUGGUCUGGUGGGUAUCGGUUAUCCAUCCUAAGGUCGUUUAAAUAUUAGUUAUAUAUCAGGUAUACAUGUAUAGACAUAAAGGUUUCCAUCAACCAGUUCAUUUCCUUUGGGUAGCGAAGGCAUCCUUCAAUUUAUCAUUCAUAUACCUGAAACGUUAGUAACUAUUAUAGGAAUAGUUAGGAGAUUCUAUUUACUCUUUCUAGUAUGAAGAAUUCCACAAGAGUCAGUUCAUUCGUGAGUCUAUACUAUUACUAUACUACUUUAAAUAGAAUGUGACGUACUAUUUACCGAUAUGCCGCUUCCAAGCGCCAUCGCCGUGUAACCAGAGUCUCCUGGAGGGAGAGCGGACAUCAUGUGUAUAGAUCUAUGCGGGACAGACACUCCCACACCUUGACUACUAGCUACAGUCCGAGCCGGUAAGGCCCAAUGGGUGACAGAUGUCACCAUACAUCGCAUGACCUGGAGGGUCAUCAAGGAUUCGAUCGUCAAUCAGCAUGGAUACAUACGAGUUCACAUUCACCCUUUUAUUUAGACUGAGCCAGGCGUAUCGUUCAUUCGAUACCCUCCCGGAGUCUAUGUUUUCCCUUGUUUUAGACUUUGCUAGCUGUAUCGUUCAUAUGAUACUGUCUGGAGUCUGUGUUUCUUUGUUUUAGACUUUGCUAGUUGUAUCAUUCAUUCGAUACUGACUGGCAUCUGUGUUUCUUUGUUUUAGACUUUGCUAGCUGUAUCGUUCAUUCGAUACUGUCUGGAGUCUGUGUUUCUUUGUUUUAGACUUUGCUAAUUGUAUCGUUCAUUUAAUACUGUCUGGAGUCUGUGUUUCCUUGUUUUAAACUGAGCCAGGCGUAUUGUCCAUUCAAUACCCUCCUGGAGUCUAUGUUUUACUUAUUUUUAAACUUUGCGAGGCGUGCCGCCUGGAGUUUAAGUUUUGUUUACUUUUAAACCAGCAAUGUUCCUGCUGAUGAAAAAUAUGAUUUUCCCUUAUUAUUUUUACUUGAGGCUUUUCUCAUAACUCCUUUAAAGUAAAAACUAUAUUUUGAUAAUGAUAGUACUUUGGGGAAAUUACUCCUUAAACAUAAACAAUUAGGUCUUGGUAGAAGACUACCUUUAUUUAGAAAAUAUAGGAUUUUCUGGAAGGAAUUCUAAUACUCUGUAGAUUCUAAACCACCAUCUUUCAUGAGCUUAUUUUGAAAUAAAAUAUGUAUUUAUACUAAUAUCAUUAAAUACUUAUGAACUCACCAAUAUUUAAAUAUGCUGAUACUCGCUUUCAAAAUAACUUCUAUUCUCAGGUCAUCGAUAGACAGGUACAUCCUGGGAGCUUUUGAGAAGACAGCCUAAUACCAAGCUGCAUCUAUGUUAUUCUCUGUAUUUACUUUGAUGUUGCUGUGAAAUGUAACCUAUGAAAAGUUAUUACUAUUAGUGCAAUGGUUGUUGUACUUUGAUUAAUAUACUACAUAUGUUGUGAUACUUGACAUGACGUCCUCCACCCCAGAACGUAUUCCGCCGUUCUCGGUUUUGGGGUGUGACAGUUGACUUGACUUGAUUAUUAGGAAAUUCAGUGCCCCCAUCACUUUGAAAGAUUUUGAUUUUUCUGGAGAAUUGAGUUUGAACCAUUUGUAUGAAACUCACUAAAACACAUGAAAAUUCAGAUUUUGCCUUUAGGGGGUACAACCAAGAAAAGCGAAUACGGCAUAAUAUCUAUAAUUAUCGUUUGAAGUAACCGGGGAGGGUCCCCAUAGAUCACAAUGAACAAGAUCUAAUAAAUUUAAGGCACGAGUUUUAUUUAUGUCAAAUAGUAACCGUUAACUUUUAGCAAGUUAACACAGGGAACAUAAACCCGGUUUAGGUAAAAGUGCAUUCACAACAAGGUAACCAAGUUUUUGUAAAGAGGUAAUAAUAUCAAAAUUGGCAUGGUCCAAGUGGCAAUGCCAUACUUCAAACGAUGCUUUGGGGCUUGAGUGAGACACAAACGCUUGAUCACUUGGGUGGAGAACAUAGAGACCAUUCUCACAUCUUCCACUGGCGAGAACCUAUUUGGUGUGAAGAUCCUGAAUGGAAAAGGAAGGGUAAGAAAGUAAGACAUCAACCAAGUUAUCUUUAGUUAGUUUGCUGAUAGAUAACAGGUUGUGAGUGAGAUUUGGGAGAACCAAGAUGUCAUUCAAAAAAAUGUUUCUAUUGAGGAUUGGGUGCCCUUUGUGAGUAACAGGGAGGGACUUGGCAUUCCCAAACAUAAAAGUUUCUUUACCUAUAGUGGAUGAAGCAUCGGAGACCGAGUGAGCGGUGGAGGUCACGUGGUCAGUUGGACCAGAGUCAAUGAACCAAUCAGGGUUUGAAGAUGAAACAUGACACUGAGAUAAGAAGGCAAAGGCUAAUUUAUUAUCCUUCACUUCAAUCCUAGCAGCGAAUUUCGUAAGAUCGGGACACACAGUGGUAUAGUGCCCAUUGGUGCGACAUAACUGACAGUGGGGACUGCGUCUACCACCCCGAUUGCCAUGACCAUCACAAGACCCCCCAUUGUUACCACCACGAUAAGAGCCACGUCCCCCACGAGUAAGAGAAACAGAAGCGGACACACGUGAUUCAAAAUUAGCACUGAAGGCAACUGGGGGUGUGGCGGAGUGAUGAAGAGCCCUGAUGAAUAACUCAUGGCUUUCAGCCCGAGCAAGUAAGUCAGCGAAGGACGAGGCAGGUCUGCUUGAACGAACGGUAGUCGAUAAGGUCUCAAAGAUAGGCCCGAAGUCACAUAAAAACUAGUGCAAUUGAUCCUCUGCAUCAACAAGUCACAUAGGACUUUGAAAGCUCGUCCAAAUUCAGCAACAGUCUUGGUUCCCUUUUGGAUCAAACGAAGUUGAUCACGGAGGUUGUGCAACCGUUCAAUUGAAGAGUUUCCAUAUGCGUGUUCAAGGGUGACCCAGAUCUGUCGAGCAGUUGACAGCCCCACAAUAACAGCGAUAGCCUCCUCCAAUAAUGAGUCUUGGAGAAUGAUGAUGCACCGCUGAUGACUCGGGACAAGAAUUUCGGGUUCACAGUUGAUUUGUCUCCAACAGUGAUGGUGUUGGGUGGGCACAGGAGGGAGCCAUCGACAUGAGAGAACAGAUCUUGAUAAGUUAAAAUAGGGUUCAUCUAAUUCUUCCACAAUAAAUAAUUAGUGGAGUUAAGUUUGACUGUUAUCAUAUGCAUUAAGGUGUUCAGUAGGAUUGAAGCAUCAGAAGUGCUCGCCAUGGAAGAAGAAGAGAAGAACAGAAGGAGAAAACGGACAGAAGGGAGAGGCGCAGGGAGAGAAAGUGGAAGAUGAACGGGGAGGGUGUUAACUCUCUGAUACCAUGAUAGUGAAAUUAAAUCGAAUAGCCUCACAAAUCAAAUGUUGCAAGGUGGAGAGAUGUUAAUCUUGGAUCAAAAGCUCGAAUAAGUGUUGAACCCACAAAAUCCAAUCCACCUAUAACAAAGAAUUGUCCAUUUUAACUCAGAAUCAAGUGCAAUUAGGAUGAAAGGGUACCAACUAGUAAGAAAUUGUAUAUGUCACGGUAGGGUGAAUAACCGAAACGAAUAGUAAUACUUGAAAAAAUAAAGAGUUCAAAUAAUAAUCCUUAGGUUUGUAAAAGUCUCGUCAACAAGGUUAAUAAAAUAAUUUAUCACAUAAAAAUGGACAUUGACAAGGCAUUUGAAACUAUAUAGUCUUCUGAUGUAUGGUAGCUGCAAACUACGGUAAACCUGCAACUACUAGGCUAAAAUAUGCAUAAACUGAAUCACUAUAGGUUUUUAUAUUGUUAAAAAUUAUAGAUAAAUUGAGAUAAUAGUGUUUAAGUUCAUGAAUCGCAACAAACUCAUCCUUAUGGUGGUGGUCGCAUGCUAUUAUAACUAGUCAGCUAAUAACCUACAACACGUUGUUUGCUUCAAUAUUACAAACAAACUACAACAUAAAAUCAUUAAUGCUAAUACUUUUUUUUAUUGGUAACAUACAGACUCUGGCUAGUAAUAUUGACCACAUUGACAACCUCAAAAAUUUUAUGGCAACUUUAAUGUAAAGAAAAAUGAUAUUGUUAAUAAGACAUUACAUUUUUACAAAAAAAUCAACCUAUAAUUAAUUAUUUAUAAACAUUUUUUUCAGAAACAAUGCAAUUUUAACUUAUAAAAAUAUUUCAAAAAUUAAUUAGAGUGUUUAAAUGGUAAAAUGAGAUGUAUUUUUAGCCAAAUUCAAAAAAUAAACUAUGAUGCAAAACAUUGAGUGUAAUCAAAUUACACUCAGACGUGUCCAUUGAACCCCUACAAGCAAUACACAAUUAAUAUAAUAUUUGACAUAUAUAAUAAACAAUCCGAUAAUUUAAUCAUUAUUUAUGUUACUAAUAUGUCUUUGAACAUAAGGAUAUAAUCCUACCAAGGUUCAUUUACUUUAGUAUUAUGUAUUUGUAACAAAUCAAAUUAGAAUGGGAAAACUUAAAAAAAAAUCAACAAAUAUAAAAAAAGACAAAAUUGCAAAAAUGGUCCUUGUGGUAUGCAUUUUUUGAGGUUUCAGUCCAAACCUCGACUUUUUUUUUAUUCAUGGUUCUUUUGGCCUAGUUUGUAUGUAGAAAUCGUCCCCCGACUUAACUUCUGUUAAGUUAUUGCUGUUAACCCCCUCACGUGCAUCUCACAUGAGGGUAUAUUUGUCUUUUCACAUAUAAAUGACAAUUUUUGCACCUAAAAAAUAUAUCUUUUUUUUAAAUAAAAAUUAAUACCUAUUUAUUUAUUUUAAUAAUUAAAAAAUUAAAAAGGCCUCUCUCUCUCUCUCUCUCUCUCCACCCAAAACACAGUCAACAAUUUUGAUUUGUGUAUGUGUGUGUUUUCAUUUUUAAAGGUGUUUCUGGGUUUUGUUUCAACCACCAUCUCUAACCCUGGUUUUUAGAUUUGUAAUAAAUGUAGCUUUUCAGAUUGAGUAAGGGAAGAAAUGAGUGAGGCGGACGAUUGGAGUCUCCAACAGUGGCUGGUGAUUGUGAGGAGGGGUGGCAUCGAUCUCCGGCGAGCCCUCCUUCGUUGUUCCUUUUCCCGAUCCGGCAUCAAAACACACAUGGGAGGAAGGAAGCUGCAGUCGCCGAUCAAAGGGAGUGUCAUAGGUGCUCAAUCGGACCGAUGAAGGAAAAAUAAGAUCGAAUGUAGCAAGGGCUGCUUAAGCAUUAAUCUGCGAAGGAGAAGGAAUGAAGGAAGAUCCGAGUGAAACAGGUAAGCUACGACAACAACUUCGGUAAAGAAAGGUGCAAAAGGGGGAAGAUGUGAUAAAUAACCGAAGGAGGUGGCAAGGCUGCUCCCCGGCAAGUCUCAUCGUGGUUUCUUUCUCGUCAUCGAUAGCAACGAUUUGGAAGGGAAUCAGAGCAGCUGCAACAACAACGAUUGAGGUGGGGUGUUUGGGGUUGUGCUUUUUCGAUUGUAGGAGGGUUGCAGAGGUGUUGAACAUCGAUUGUAACAGCCCGGAUUCCCAGGUAUUAUUUAUUAAUGUAUUUUUGGUAUUUUGUGAGGAGACUCGGCGAGUUGGAGCUCAAACUCGCUGAGUAGGAUCGCGGUUGGACGCGGGUUCGCGUCUGGACUCGGCGAUUCCACGCUGUUUAAUGAAACCCUAAUUUCCAGGGUGUGAGACCUAUUUAAGGGGGCUUAUGGCCGUCAUUUGCGGCCACCAACCCCAGAGAGAACCCUAAAGAGUCUUUGAGCGUUUUGUGAGAGAGAAAAGGAAGAUCCUUGAUUAUUUGUGGGUGUUUUUGCAGAUAGAAGAAGAUCAAGGCAAGAGGAGACCAAGGAAGGUGCUAAUUCAGUGAUUUCUGAGCUCAGAGACUUCAUUUGAGGUAACCAUUCGUUCCUUUCUCAGUCCUUGAUGUGAAUCUUAGAUUUAGGGUUUCUUUGUGGAAUGAUCCAUGGGAGUAAUUGGCCUCUUCUUGUGUUGAUGCUUUAGAUCUGGAACCAAAGAGGUCCAGAGACCCUUUUCCCUCAAGCUUUAUGAGUGUUAAUGGAGGCCAUGAGCUUAGAAUAGCAUUCUAGAGACCAUAUCAUCAAAUAAGGCCUUUGGACCUUUGCAUAAGCACCAAGAUUGUAACUUUACGUGAUGAAUGUGCUUGGGAAGGCCAGAUCUAAGGUUUGGGAAAGCAGAUCUGACCUCAGAAGGUCAAUAGAGUUUGUGCAUGGCAUGAACUCGCCGAGUUGUUCUUGGGACUCGGCGAGUAGGGUUGGGGUUUCACAUAAUGUGUUCAAUGGGCGGACUCAUCGGGUUGGGGGAUGACCCAGUGAGUCAGGGAGAGUCUUUAUGGGGCCGAGUCAANAGUCAAACUGGAACUCGCCGAGUUGUUCUUGAGACUCGGCGAGUUGAGUCGUGGUUGCCCCGCGAUUCAUGCCAGGUGGAACUCGUCGAGCUAGGGAGGUACUCGACGUGCCAAGAGAGGAUCUGAGGGAGUCAGUGAAUGCGCAUAGACUCGCCGAGUCGCUCUAAUGCACUCGCCGAGUCCGGUCAAAGUUGACCGUUGACCAGAGUUGACUAGUGUUGACUUAGUAAGGUUAAUCAACCUUAGUCUUGGAAGUGUUAAUUAGAGAUAUGUGUUGUAUAUAGGAGGAUUAUAGCUCGAGGGAUCGAGCACGAGUGAUUCAGGGACUUGCGAUUAUCAAGAUACACGAGGUGAGUCUUCUCANUACCUUGAGUAGGUAACCAGAGUUAUGUGACAGAGUAUUUGUAUGCUAUGUAUGUUAUGUGUUGUACUGCAUUAUUUCUAUGUGAUUUAUGUUGUGCAUGUUUACAGAGUUAGAACCUGAGGGUUCACAGAGUUUGGGUGCACGGACCCACAGAGUUAUAGCCUCGAGUGGCUAAUAUGUGUUAUAUGUGGUAUUUUGGGGAACUCACUAAGCUUUGUGCUUACAGUGUUUGGUGUUAUUUGUUUUAGGUACUAGUGACGACCGUGGGAAGGCGCCGGCUUGAUCAGUACACACGCACGGGAUUUUAUGAUUAUGAGAUCUUGGGAUUUUUGUAUGACUUGGAUUGAAUUUCAAACAUGGGUGUUUUAUGAAUAUUAAGUGAAUUAUGUUUUUAUAAAAUUCGAAAAUUUGUUUUGAAAUUUACGACAUUACAAGUUAGUAUCAGAGGCUUGGUUUGAGGGAUUCGGGUACACCUUCGGGGGUAUUUGAACUCAAACUGAGGAUUUGGAAAAUAUUUUCAAAAGAGAACCAAAUUUUAUAAAAGAAGUAAAAGAUUUUUAGAGAAACUCAUAGCAGAAACGUGUGUAUGAUCAGUCAGCGCCCGAACGGUGAUUUCCCAAAAUACCCUUAUACUAUAUGUUUAUGAGAUUGAUAUGAUGUAUUCUUUUGCUAGAGCAGGCUAGGUAUUCCUAUUAGGACUAGAGUGCCCUGAUUUGUGAUGCCUUAGCCUAGGGGAAAGUGAGUUGCUAUGAGAUGCUUGAGAGUGAAUAGGUAGCAGCGAGGAGCUUAUGAGAGAUCUGUUAGAGAGUGAUAGAGUACUUGGAACUUGGAAUCCGAAGGGGAGGAUUUGGGGUGUAUACUGAAACAGUGCGGACAGUAGUAUUGGGCCCGUACUACUGAAGGCACCGGAGCGGUGUACAGUUCAAAUAAGAACCUUCGGAAUGCCAAGGAUCAGGGAGGAAAGAGUUGUCGAGUGUGAGCAUGCUCGAAUGAAUUCUAAUUUAUCGUAUGUUGUAUUUCAGAGGUUGAUCAUGGUGAGGACACGUCAUAUGCCAGAGGGCAGUGGGACUAGUGAUGAGGAGAUCCGUCAGAUCAUCCACGAGGAGGUGGCUGCGGCCAUCAGGGCAGAGAUACCAGAGAUGUUCGGGUCUAUUAAGACCACGCUGAUUGAGACUUUCGACGAGCGUUAUGCUGCUCUUUCUGAGGUUGCUGUUGCGGCGGCCACCGCAGCUGUUGCUGCUGCGAGGCNNNNNNNNNNNNNNNNNNNNNNNNNNNNNNNNNNNNNNNNNNNNNNNNNNNNNNNNNNNNNNNNNNNNNNNNNNNUGGAUUUCUGACAUAGAGGGGUGUUUCUUCACUUGCUCAUCUCCUGAGCAUUUGAAGGUUCGGUUCGCGCUGAACCAGCUUCGCUUGGGAGCGAAGGACUGGUGGAAGUUUGUGACGGCGCACUUUACGCCUGCUGAGCUUGCGGCAGUGACCUGGGAGAGGUUCACUGCCAUGUUCCGAGAUGAGUACGUUCCCCAGGUGGAGAGGGAGAGUUUAGCCUAGGAGUUUCUGACCCUCAACCAGGGUACUGAGUCUGUUACGGUGAUUACCAGGAUGUUUCACGAUAGGGCGAUGUUCUGCCCUGAGCACGUGUCCACUGAGCAGGCACGCAUGAGCCGAUAUUUGAGUAUCUUGAGGCGAUACAUUAAGGAGUUCGUGGCGAACUCCUCGUACCGGACAUUUUCUGAGCUUCAGGCAAAUGCCCGGAAGAGGGAGAUUGAGCUAGAGACUCAGGCCAGGGAGGAGGCGGAGUCUCAGGGGAGGGAUCGGCGACCGGCACAGUCCUAGCUGGCAGCCAAGCAGGCCAAGCUCACUGNUGAUCCCAAAUCUGGGAGCCAGAGGGGCCGCACUUGUGGAAAGUGCGGCAAGGGUCAUGAUGGAGUAUGUAGAGCUGGAUCUUGCUACAAAUGUGGCAAGGAGGGGCAUAUGGCCAAGGACUGCCCCAAGGGAUUUGCAGUGUGUUUUCACUGCAAUCAGACCGGACACCGGAACGCGGAGUGUCCGCAGUUGCGGGGAUCAGCUCAGGGAGCACCUCAAACAAGGGAUUUGCAGUGUGUUUUCACUGCAAUCAGACCGGACACCGGAACGCGGAGUGUCCGCAGUUGCGGGGAUCAGCUCAGGGAGCACCUCAAAGAUCUGCCCCUGCCGCCAUCAGAGCUACCGAGAGUCGGCCAGUGAAGGCCGAGGCGCCGAGGGCACGAGGGCGANGAGAGCCUUUCAGUUGACCGCGGAGGAAGUCCGCGCAGCGCCCGAUGUCGUGGCUGGUAUGUAUUAUUUCAUGUAUUUAUUUUGAUGUUGAGAUAUUAUGCUUAUAUUAUGUUAUGCGUAGGUACUUUUUCUUGUGAAUUAUGUACCUGCCUUGGUGUUAUUUGACUCGGGUGCGAGUCGGUCUUUUGUAUCUUUGGCUUUUAGUCAGCAUAUCAGUGUUAGUUGCGAGGCGUUGAGUCGGCCUCUGAGGCUUUCCACAGCUGACGAGAGAGUGAUAUAUGCCACGGAGGUGAUCCAUGGGUGCGUAUUCGAGAUUUUCGAUGUUGAGUUUCCGAUCAAUUUGAUUCCUAUUACGAUGGGUGACGUUUGUGUCAUUGUGGGCAUAGACUGGUUGAGCAGAUUUGGUGCGGUUAUCGACUGCGAGGGACCGCUGGUGACCAUAAGAAACCCUAGUGGGGGAGUUCUUACGGUGUACGACGAGGGUACACGUUCUGGAUUAGCAUUUUGUUCGGCCGCUAGGGUAAGGCAGUGUCUACAGCAGGGCUGUAAGAGUUUUGUGGCGUACGUGUCGGAUACGCAAGUUGAUUUUGAGAGGCCGAGGUCAGUGGAGGAGGUUCCGAUAGUGCGAGAGUUCCCGGAUGUCUUUCCAGAGGAGUUGUCGUGUGCCUCCCNAGAGUUCAGUAUCGAUUUGGUUCCGGGGGCCGCGCCUAUCGCCAAGGUGCCUUAUCGUCUUGCACCUCCAGAGAUGCAAGAGUUAUCCUCGCAUCUUCAGGAGCUAUUGGGGAAGGGGUUUAUUCGGUUGAGCAGCUCACCGUGGGGAGCGCCUAUCCUGUUUGUCAAGAAGAAGGAUGGUUUCACACCGGAUGUGCAUUGAUUACCGGGAGUUGAACAGGUUGAUGGUCAAGAACCAUUACCCGUUGCCGAGGAUCGAUGAUUUGUUCGAUCUGUUGCAGGGAGCAUCUUGGUUCUCCAAGAUCGAUUUGAGGUCUGGAUAUCAUCAGUUGAGGGUGCGAGAUGAGGACAUCUAGAAGACAGCAUUCAGGACGCGUUAUGGGCAUUAUGAGUUUGUGGUGAUGCCCUUCGGGCUCACCAAUACCCCGGCAGUGUUCAUGGAUCUCAUGAACCGGGUGUGCAGACCGAUGUUGGAUCAGUAAGUGAUUGUAUUCAUCGACGAUAUCUUGGUAUAUUCGAGAUCUAGAGAGCAGCAUGAGGAGCAUUUGAGGGAGGUCCUCGGAGUUCUGAGAUCGGAGAGGAUUUAUGCCAAAUUCUCCAAGUUUGAUUUCUGGUUGCGAGAGGUCUAGUUCCUGGGACAUCUCGUUAACCAGGAAGGGAUAUUGGUCGACCCAGCCAAAGUUGAGGCGGUGAUGAGUUGGGAGGUGCUGAGGUCACCCUCCGAGAUCAGGAGUUUUCUAGGGUUGGCCGGUUAUUAUCGGAGAUUUAUCAAGGAUUUCUCUAAGAUCGCAGUGCCACUCACCAGGUUGACCCGGAAGGGUGUCGCUUUUUCAUGGGGCCCCGAGCAGCAGGCCUCCUUUGAGACGCUUCACCAAAGGUUAUGUGAGGCCCCGAUCUUAGCCCUCCCGGAGUGAAUGGAGGACUUUUUGGUAUACUGUGAUGCAUCGAUCUUGGGGUUGGGAGCGGUGCUGAUGCAGAGAGGGCAUGUGAUAGCAUAUGCAUCGAGGCAACUGAAGCCACAUGAGUCGAGGUAUCCCACCCAUGAUCUAGAGUUGGGGGCAGUGGUGUUCGCCCCCAAGAUUUGGCGUCACUAUCUGUAUGGGGUUCGGUGUACGAUAUACACGGACCAUAAGAGCCUGAAGUAUUUGAUGGAUUAGCUUAUGAUUGUGAGAUCCUUUACCAUCCGGGCAAGGCUAAUGUGGUAGCCGACGCCCUGAGUCGCAGGGCGGAGAACGCCCCGUCGAGGUGUAUGUUUUCGUUUGACCGUGAUGGCUCCGGUGUUGGACACCAUUCGUGGAGCACAGGCUGAGGCUAUGAGAUCAAAGAACCAGAAAAGGGAGCGUGUGGUAGGGUUGGUAUCGGAGUUCGUUACCGAUGGUCGGGGGCUUAUGACAUUUCAGGGGCGGAUUUGGGUACCGUUUGUGGGAAGGACGCGUACCAUUCUGAUGGAGGAGGCUCAUCGGUCGAAAUUCUCGAUCCAUCCUGGGGCCACUAAGAUGUAUUUGGAUUUGAGGAGGGAGUAUUGGUGGCCCUGUAUGAAGAGGGAUGUUGCGUGGUUUGUUGAGAGGUGCUUAACCUGCCGUAGGGUUUAGGCCGAACACCAGAGACCGCAUGGUAAGUUGCAGCCGUUGGAGGUUCCUGAAUGGAAGUGGGAACNUUUGACCUGCCGUAAAGUUAAGGCCGAGCACCAGAGACCGCACGGUAAGUUGCAACCCUUGGAGAUCCCUGAGUGGAAGUGGGAUCAGAUCACGAUGGAUUUCAUCACCAAAUUGCCGAAAACUGCCAGGGGAGUCGAUGCGAUUUGGGUGAUUGUGGAUAGACUAACAAAGAGUGCACAUUUCCUUGCCAUUAGUGAAAGUUCAUCAGCAGAGAAGUUGGCGGAGUUGUACGUGAGAGAGAUAGUAUCUCGGCAUGGGGUGCCGACCUCGAUUGUUUCGGACCGGGAUGUACGUUUCACUUCCAGAUUCUGGAAGAAGUUUCAUGAGGAGCUGGGUACAAGCCUGCAUUUUAGUACCGCAUAUCACCCCCAUUCGGACGGACAGAGUGAGCGGACAAUUCAGACGCUCGAGGACAUGCUCCAGGCAUGUGUGUUGGAUUUUAGGGGGAGUUGGGAUACGUACUUUCCCUUGGCAGAGGUUUCUUAUAACAACAGCCAUCAUUCGAGCAUUGGUAUGCCGCCUUUUGAGCCGUUGUAUGGGAGGAGAUGUCGAACCCCCAUCUGCUGGGAGAGGUCGGACAUCGUGUUAUGGGCAGUACCGAGAUCAUACUUCAGACGACAAAGCAGAUCCAGCAGGUCAGAUAGAGGUUGUUGACCGCUCAGAGUCGUCAGAAGAGUUAUGCGGACAGACGCCGGUCCGAGCUUAAGUUUCAGGUCGGCGAAUUUGUGCUCCUGAAGGUCUCUCCUUGGAAAGGAGUGAUUCGAUUCAGGAAGUGGGGCAAGUUGGGGCCUCGAUAUAUUGGUCCAUUUCGGGUGGUUGCGAGGGUAGGCAUGGUAGCCUAUCGUUUGGAUUUGCCAGCAGAGUUGGCGUAGAUUCACGACACUUUCCAUGUGUCGCAAUUGUGGAAAUGCAUAGCCGAUGAGUCGGUAGUGGUUCCAUUAGAGGAUAUACAGGUGGAUGCGAGCCUGAAUUAUGCUGAGAGACCAGUGGCAAUCAGAGAUCAGAAAAUCAAGGUUCUGAGGAACAAGGAGGUACCCUUUGUUUUGAUUCAGUGGCAGCAUCGGAAAGGGUCCGAGAUGACUUGGGAGCCGGAGCGUGAGAUGCGCGAGCAGCAUCCGGAGUUAUUUGCAGAGCGAGACUUCGAGGGCGAAGUCAAGUUCUAGUGGGGGAGAAUUGUAACAGCCCGGAUUCCCAGGUAUUAUUUAUUAAUGUAUUUUUGGUAUUUUGUGAGGAGACUCAGCGAGUUGGAGCUCAAACUCGCCGAGUAGGAUCGCGGUUGGACGCGGGUUCGCGUCUAGACUCGGCGAGUCCAUGCUGUUUAAUGAAACCCUAAUUUCCAGGGUGUGAGACCUAUUUAUGGGGACUUAUGGCCGUCAUUUGCGGCCACCAACCCCAGAGAGAACCCUAAAGAGUCUUUGAGCAUUUUGUGAGAGAGAAGAGGAAGAUCCUUGACUAUUUGUGGGUGUUUUUGCAGAUAGAAGAAGAGCAAGGCAAGAUGAGACCAAGGAAGGUGCUAAUUCAGUGAUUUCUGAGCUCAGAGACUUCAUUUGAGGUAACCAUUCGUUCCUUUCUCAGUCCUUGAUGUGAAGAUUGGCUUGGAGGGAAGAGCUUGAAGAGCAAAGGAGUUGAGGCAAGGAAGGUGUGGGAAACAUAACUUAUCUCAUCUAGCAUCUUUUGGAGGUAUCAAGUUGCAAUCUUUACUUCUCUUUUCUUCUAGAUCUCUUUGUGGUUGAGUAUUAGGGUUUUAUGGAUUUUUGGGAGUCAUAUUGGUGAGCCAUGGGCUAGAUCUGAAGUUGUAACUUCAGAUCUGGACCCAUCUCAAGUUCUGGAAUCAUAAAGUUUCUUUUUUUGUCGUGGUUGAGGCCCUUCUUGUGCAUGAAACCCCAUUAAGAGCUUAGAUUUGGCAUUAAGAGCCUUUUUAGUCAUGCAUGCACGUAAAGUUUGCUACUUUACGUGAAAAGCAUGUCCUAGAAGCUUGGAUCUGUAAUUUGGAGCCAUUACAUGGCUUAAAUAAGUCUGUAUGGCUUAAGGACUGAAGGAACUCGGCGAGUCGCAAGGUUGACUCGACGAUUCAUAUGAAGAUGGCCAUUGAACAAGACGAGUUGAUGACCAACUCGGCGAGUCCGAUAAAGAUUGCCUUAGACUCGACGAGUUGUAUGAACAACUCAGCGAUUCGGAUGAGUUUUCCCCAAGUUAUGAGUGCGUGUGUAGCCGACGUGUUGCAAGAAGGAAACUCGACGGGUGGCCUUAUGGUUUCGAUCGAAAAUCGUAAGAACUCGACGAGUCACCCGAUGACUCGGCGAGUAGGAAAGAAUUUCAAAGAACUCGGCGAGUAGCCGAGCGUACUCGGCGAGUUAAGCUCAACAAGGACUGUUGACCUUGACUGAAGACUUUGACUUUGACCUGGGGUUGACUGGUUGGUUUAUGGAGUACUUGUGAGGUUGAGGAUUUAUGAGUAUGCUCGUACUGUGGUAAUAGGUGGAGGAGCGUUUGGCGAGUGAUCCGGGAGUUGGGAUUUAUCUACCGAGUCGACAUCUACGAGGUGAGUUAUCCUCACUGUAUCAAAAGGAUCUAAGGCACCAAGGUCGACCCUUUAGUUGUUAUGGUUAUGAUACGAUGUAUGCGAUUAUGAUCUGAUAGAUUGGAAUCAGGAUAGACAGUAUGUUAUGUUUUAUGAUCCUUAACGAUUGGUAUGUUAGUGGCCUGCUGGGCCCGUGCUCUAGUUAUGAGAGAUCGCCAUGAUUGAUGAUCCGUAAGAUAAAUAGGUUUGAUGUUUGUACAUGCCGGUAUAUGUUAGUUAUGCGCACAUGAUUAUUUGUUUGUUGGUUGGGUUGGGGCGGUCCUGCUUUGUGCUGAAGGCCAACAUACCCUAUGAGCUGUCCGGGGAGACUGUGGGCCCACGUGGCGGUCCAAUCAUGCCGAAGGCUCGGUAUAGAUUUAGUUAGACUGUAGGCCCUGUAGGGCGGUCCAGUCGGGGCGAUGGCCCAAUAUUCAUAUUGAUUGAUUGAUUGAUUAUCACUGAUAUCAUAUUAUCAGUGUGGUGUUGGUAUUUUGGGGGUAGCUCACUAAGCCCUUGGGCUUACAGUUUUCAGUUAUUGUUUCAGGUACUUCAAAAGAUCGUGGCAAGGCGAAGGCGUGACCGUACCGCUCCUCAUCCUUACGAUCUAUUGUUGGGACACUCUGAUGAGUAACGAUUUGAAAACAAUUUGUAAACAAACACUAUUUGGGUUUAAAUUGUGAUUGGAAAAGUUUAAAUUUGGUGUAAAAUUUAUGGAUGUUACACUUGUAUUCACAAACGAAAUGUUUCUUCAAAAAACCUAAUACUACUCCAAUCACAAAUGAAUACACAUCAAAUUACAAAUAAUUCAUUCACAUGAAUAAACACACUCAUUCACAUGAAUACACUACUAUUCAUAAAUUAAUACACAUUCUAUCAUAAAAUGAAUACCUCUAAAUAAAUAAUUACACUCAUUCACAUGAAUACACUACAAUUCAUAAAUACAUACAACAAUUCGCACAUGAAUACACUGUUAUUCAUAAAUGAAUACACUGUUAUUUAUAAAUAAAUAAACAUUCUAUCAUGAACAAGUAUAAUACCCUUAUUUAAUAGAACAUGCAAAAACCUUCAUAAAUCUGAAUUUGAAACCUUUCAUCCAAUAAUCCCUGCACAUCUUCGGAAAAACAUUUCUUUAUUUCUUCGUUAUGAACUUCCCCAUCUUUUGAAAUUAAAGGAAGCCUUGGUCUCAGAGCAGCUUGAAAUGUAUUUUGAUCGAAGGAAAAACAAUUUCGUAUUCCUAUGUCAUUUAAGAUGGAUGUCUGGUUGCAAUCUUAAAAGAAAGGCGGAAAAGAAAGGCAGAAUGAUUUCAUCUUCGGAAAUGAUGAAUCUGAGUUCUGGAAACAAUAAUUUGUGUUUGAGAUUAUAACUUAAGAACUUUAGAUUAUAUUACAAUAAAUAAGAAAACAAAAGGUUAAUACAAUCUUUAUUUAAUUGUCUUGUAGAAGUACAGGAAUUCCAAAUUCAUCCCUGAAUCAUCCAAAGGCAAGUUUAAUUGGUUAAACCACUCCAGCCAUCAAACUAAACGAAACGACCAACAAUUGAUGCUACAAUUGAAAUGACAUAAGUGAACAAAAGAAGGAAGUAUUUCACCUGUCUUCGGCAAUGAUGAAUCUGAGUCCCAAAUCUAGAACAAUUAGCUAGUUCGAAAGAGAAAGGCAAAAUGAUUUCAUCUUCUUUUGUCUUUCAAGACGGAUAUCCGAUUGCACUUGAACCAGGAACACACCUUCCUCUCGGUUUUCCAUGAAUAGAUUAUGAUCUAAACCAGGUACACACCUCCCUCUCAGUUUUCCAUUAAUCGGGUUGUAAGAGACCGAUUGAGAUCGAGUUGCAGGAGGCUAAUUCGAAAUCUACUUGCAGGUCCGAUUAAGGCUAAGAAAACUGAAUGUGCGAUGGAGGUAGGCUAAGAGAUGAAGAUAUCGUGGUGUGCAAAUGAUGGAGGCGGCCAACUGAUUCAACCCUAGGUAGAGAGAGAAGGAGAGAGAGAGAGAGAGAGAGAGAGAUGGAUACGACAAUGGAAAUAAGAGUGGGAAUGAGAAUUUAUAGGAUUAACCUAAAGUUUCAAUUACUGUUAUACCCUUAUGCCAUUUUUAAAGUUACACUGUACUACCAAUAGUUUUAGAAUUAACAUAAAUGACCCGUUUGAUAAUAGCCUUAAAUUUGAAUAUUUAGAUGGGCCAGAUGUGUUCUCAUGCUCUCAACAUUUUAGGUGUUCUCAUUCGAUCCAACUNGGUUAAGGAGGCUCUGUUUGUGUACAAAAUGCCAUAUGAAGAUUGACCAACCCCAUUCACGAGAGGUAUAGCCACCAGAUUCAACCUUUGUGUACUUCUCAAACGCCUCGAAAAUUGACCAACCCCAUUCACGAUAUCUGAUAAUAACAUUAAAAAAAUUAAUAUAUAUCAUAAAAAAUAAUAUAUAUAUAUAUAUAUAUAUAUAUAUAUAUAUAUAUAUAUAUAAAAUCAAGUAUGAACUCAAAAAGUGGUAGGAACCAUGAGGACACGUUUUGACCUUAAGACUAAAAAAAUAAAUAGCCAAUAUUUUAUUUUAUUUAUCAUGGAAAUCUCACAAGAUGAUGUGACAUUUUCGUAAUUAAUUGCGAUAUUCUGAUAAUUUCCGGGGAAGGUUAAUUGUUUGGAGGGUACAAGUGACAAAAGCAAAAAAUAUUAAAAGAAAAUAGAUAAAUGAAAAGGAAAUUUGACCAUGUAGCUUCUUUAGGAGCUGACACGUGCCUCCAUCCCAACAUGACAAGUGUGCAACCCUUAUUAGUUGGUGAGUUUUUUUUCUAGCCGUUCAGUUUUUUAGCCAUAAUUGUUUUUGUUCUUUGAAAGAAAAUCUGAAAAACCAAAGUUCUUAAAAUUUAAUUCUCUACAAGAUGAACAUAAUUAUGAAAAUUUGGUUUUCUUUUUUCUUAUUUUUUAUGUUUAUAAAAGAACCUAGCAAACAAAUUCUCCAAAAAUCAUACAAAUUUAAGAAAUAUUUCUACUCACUAUUCUAAUGACUUUAUAAAAAGAAUUUUUAAAAAAUAAGGUGGUUUAACUACCAAACUUUAUUUUAAAAGAUUAAAUUUUUUUUAAAAAAUGUUGAACAUAAUAUGAAACAAAUAGAGAUGAUUGAAAAUAUUUAUGAUUCAAAAAUAUUAUGAUUCAAUAUGAUCCUUAAAUUGUUUUGAUCUAAAAAUAUUUUGAUUCAAAUAUUUAAUGAUCCUUAAUUAUUAUAUUUUUUAUGAUUCAAAUUAAAUGAAUUAAAAAAAUAUAAUGAUACAAAUGUUUGUACUGAACAAUCACUUUAUUUAAUUCAAUGUAUUAUUAUCCAAAUUAAUAUGAUUCAAAAAUAAAUGAUGCAUACUAUCGUUAUGAUUCAAAAUCCUAUGAUUCAAAAUUUUAUGAUUCAAAAAUUAUAUGAUUUAGAAAAAAAUAUGAAUGAAAAAUGUUGUGAUCCUUAAUAUUCUUCUUAUUUAAAAUUUUAUAAUUAUUAAUCAUUAAAAAUUCAAACCGAUCUUUAGUUUAAAAAAAUCAAAAAAGAAAAAAAGAAAAAUCAUACUAUCAUCAAGUAUGUAGUAAAGAUAUUUAAAAAAUAAAAAAUAAAAAAAAACAGGAAAAAACGCAAAAAAUAUAAAAACAUUAAAACCGAGCAUAAGUCUAUUUUAAAAAGAUUGAACAUUUUUUAACGAAAAAUAAAAAAAAAAUAGUAAAAAAACGACAAAAACCCCAAAUAAAUGAAAAGGAAAAGAAAAACCCGUAUAAAUGACGUUUAAUGGAUGUUCGUCACACAUGAUUAUUCCCUUGAGUCCGUAUUACGUUUCAUGCACAUGCGCCACAUGCGAAUGUGUCACGACCAAGUAAAUGGGUUUGACUUUUGUGUCAUUGCCGAAAUGAUUGGUGGAGAAUAGUUCUCGCGGUUCCUACUAGAUCCGGACUUAUAUAUAUAUAUAUAUGAGGGUCAACAGUGAAUGAUUAUUAACAAGAAACCAAAGAAUCAAUCGUUAGCGUCGAAAUUUAAAGCGAUCAACGGCCAAAAGAAUUGGUACACUUGUACAUUAGAUGCACAUACACCAGAUUAUACAAUAAACCCACCUCUUUACCAAAAGUCCACCUCUUUUUCUGUUUAAAAUUUUUGUUAAGCGACGAUUUUUAUCGAAAAAAAAAGGGAAUAUAUUGUUGUUCUCGAUUUUUCACCAUUUUCCCAUAGAGAUCCAUGUUGAUAUAUAAAAAAUAAAUUUUUUGUUUUCGAAAAAACCAACUUUGUUAUGUUGUUUUUUAAUAUGUAAGUUUAUUUUUAUAUAUAAAACAAAUCAAUUAUACCAAAAAUCUCAUAUUUUUGUCAUCUUUUAAUAAACACUAUCAACGAUUUAAAAAAUCUCGAUUUGUUCAGAUUGACUUUAUGAAUUUAAACCGUAUAUAUUUCAAUUUUAACAGUCACAAUGACUUACUAUUAUUCACAUUGUGAAUCUGCUCAGAUUCACAAUGUCAAUGUGGGCAGAUUCACAAUGUGAAUUUGAGCAGAUUCACAUUGUGAAUCUGUAUUGAAUUUUUUUGGGUAAAUUACACCAUUCAUCCUUUAUGGAUGUGUCGAAAAGCGUGUUUAGUCUAUAUUUUCAAAAAUUAACUAGGACUAUCCAUUGUUUGGUUAAAAGUUGCACAUGUCAUCCCUCGUUAGUUUAAAUUUGCUUGUUUUAUCCAUUGUGUUGGGUCUGAAAUUAUGGUUUAUACUUUACCUUUCUAGGAAAAUGUAUUUUUAUGUCUAGGAUCGUAAACAGCUUGGUGUUUACGGCUUUAUAUGUGUGUACGGCCGUACACGGGUUUACGACCGUAAACCCGUGUACGAACCAUGUUUCCUAUAAAUAUAGGUGUAAGGGGGAGAGGAGUGGUAGAGGAGUGUACAUCCAAUAGGAGCUUAAGUGUGUGUAUUCUAUGGUGUGAUAGAGAGAGAAAGUGAAUCUUGUGUAAGGAACUUCAUUAAUAUAAUCAAUAGAUUGAAGAUUCAUAUCAUCAAUAGAUUAGAUUCAUCUUAUUCUUCUUCUACUUCUCUUCUAUUUUGAUCUGGCAUCAUCCGUUUGAUUGAGAUUCCGCACAAUCAAACGGAUCUAAUUGAUACACAAGCAGAUUGGGGACUUACAAGUGGUAUCAGAGCAAGGAUUGUAUCAAUCAUAUUUAUCAGAUCUGGAGCGUAUUUGAUCUUAUUUUUGAAGGAUUUCUACGUUUUUGGAUAGAUCUUGGCAAAAUAAGGAGGGUUUUUUCUUCGCGUUUUUUAUAAAAACGAGUUCGGGAUUGAGUUUUGGAGCAAAAAGUGUGAAAAACAUCGUUUUUUUCGCAUCUGUUGAAGGGUGGCCUCGGAGUAUACGGCCUGGGUGUAUGGUUCGGUGUAUGGCUCAGCAGCCUCUUACAUGUACGGCUCGGUGGUUUACAGUCCAGCAGCAUUUCUGGUUCACUUUUUUUUCGGCCUGACACCUCGCAUGUGUUCGUUCAAUAGUCUCGUUCAGCAACCUUCUUUCUCGUUCAGCGCUUAUUAUAAAAGGAAGGGAUUUUUGGGGGCUGCCGAGUUUCGAACCCGGGUCUCAUCCCUACUCAACGAACGCACCUUACCAGUUGAACCAACUUGUCACAUGGUACACUCCUUUCGAAUUUAAGUCAAAAGGCUUCUUAUUUCGAUCCAAGUUUCGCAAUUUUGACAUUUUUUGCCCAAAAAUCAAUUUUUUUUUAAUUUUCAAAUUUCAUUUUCAAUCAAAAGUUUUGAUAUUUAAUUUUUGAAUUUUAUUUUUGACUUUUGACCUUAAAAAAAUUGACUUUGACUUCAAGUUUGACCUUUGACUUUAAACUUUGACUUUCUCGUUUAACUUUCAAAUUUUCAAAUUUAGCUUUUCGGUUUGACUUUUAAAUUUGACUUUUUAAAUUUGACUUUUAAGGUUGACUUUUGAGUUCUAAGUCAAAGGGCAUAUUUUAAACAAUGAGUUCCUCAAAUAUUCCGAUCAAUGAUGUUUCAUGUACUCCACCUUGUGAAACUACUAUUAAGUUUCUUCGUGAACAAAUCGAUUUAUUAAAAAGAGAAAAUGAGGAACUUAAAUAUGACGGAUAUCAACUUAGGAAAGGCCAGAAAUCAUUGAAAGAUCAAUUAGAGGCCAAGACAAAAGAAUUUAAAAAAUUACAGGCAGAGUACAGUGAAAAAUAUGUCCAUUAUAAUUAUCUUAAGAAUCAUUUUGACAUUGUAACUGCUGAACUUGACACAUUGAGAACUCGUUUUACAAAUGCCGACUUUAAUUAUAAAAAGUUCGACGUGUCAAGUGAAAGGGUUGAAAAAAUAAUUGAACUUCAAAUGAAAUGGAGGGACCAGAAGCAACUAGGAAUAGGUUAUGAGGGUGUCCCUCUCCCAUUCUGUCACAACUGCACUACCAAACCUUUGACUCAAGAAGAGAUUGACCAAGAACAAUUUAUAGUAUACAGUAAACCAGGUGCUGAACAGGCAACUGAGGGUGUUGAGAUGAAAGAUACCAAUGAUUCUACUUCAUGUGUAGGUAAAGUAGUAGAGGAUGAGAACAAUGAGAAAACUAUUGAACAAUCCAAUGACUCCUUGAAAUUUGAUCUGUUGCUUCGAACUAUGUUGCUUCUAACUCAGUCACUCCUAACAAACCUGCGGUUGAGAAAUACAAGCAACCAAAACAAGCGAAAUCGACGACCUGCUGCAAGUGUGCUUGUGGGAACAAUAAGAAACGAGGCAAGGGCACGCUACCAAGGGCAGGAAGAAACAACUUCAUAGUGAAGAAAAAGACUUGCUUUCACUGUGGAACACCUAGACACAUUGCCAGAAACUGUCCAAAUCGCACAUACAUUACCUACUAUGCACAAGGGUGGCAGAACGCCCCAAGAGGGAGAUUUUCCAAAAGAGACCCUUCGAGGUCACGUUCAGACAAUGGUGACUGGAAUGCCACGAAGGGCAAGAGUUCAACUCCCAAGGCCAUGAAUCAAAUCCCAAAGUUAAGAAGGCUAUGACGGCCAGGAAGCCCAAUCCAAGAGAUGCUCCAGUGAAACUAAAAUCAAAGUCAUCUCGAAGAUCAGGUUCAUGUACAAAAGCAAGUACCGAGGCACCCAUCCGAUCCAAUAAGAAAUGGGUUAAAACCGACUACAGAUGGGUACCAAAGGUUCAAUCUCAUAAAUCUUCUAAUGAUUCUAAUAUUUCUACAUAUUCUGUUUGUGAUAAACAGGAUAUGUCAUGAGAGAGAGUUUCUUGCACAGAUGAAAAAGGUCAACCCAGUUUCAAAAUGAACUGGGUUCCAAAGACCAACUGAUCCCGCUAUGUGUCGAAGCAACUAUGGAGGCAUAUCAUCAGACUUCGGUUUGUUGAUAGUGGCUGUUCCAGACACAUGAUAGGGGACAUCUCUCAACUGUGCAACACUCAUAACUUUGUUUGAGAGUAUGUGUACUAUGCGGGAAAGAAAGGAAGGAAGGAGAGAAUCACACAUGGGGUUUGUGCUUAAUGACAUGAAGAAUUUUCGGAUCUGUUCUGAGAUUAUGUGUGUUGUUCGCAGACCUUCUAGAUGCAAAUUCAAUCGGUGAAUUACGGUUUGAUUUUUCUUCUCGAUACUCCUGUGUUUAUGUUUCACUUAUUCGUUUUUGAAGACAAUCUUUUAUUUUCUUAUAGUUUUUCGUCAGUAGGUAUUGUUAGGGAAGUGAUAACAAGAAUGUGAUAACGGGAAGUCUAAACAUGUGUAAGGGACUGAAUCUGAAUUGUCUAGACUCUGUGUUUAGUAUGCUGGUAGGCAUGAAGGAUUUGACAAUGUGGAUUUAGAUAGGAUUGUUUAGACUAACCAUAUGACACUCGGGUAGAUUGAGCAGUGACAUAAACACGGGAACCCACGGGAUACACUAAAAUUAAUAUGCAUCUAGAAUAGUGGUUCAACUUUUCCUUAAUGUACAAACUAAUGUCCUUAAUUCUAGUUCUGAUAGGGCGACUGGGGGUUCUGAUAAAGUAGGUAUGUAGGAAAUUAUUUUCUUGCUUUCUAUCUGUCAGUCAUGUGUUGCUUCCUCUGCGUGAUUGGAAGAGAUCCGACCUGGAAUGCAACAUAUGCAACUCUGUCACAACUAGGAAUUUUGUUGCUUUGUAACGACAACAAUGAUAACAAUUGUGAACCAAAAAUGUGAAAGAAUGUAUGAUGCUUAUUCAAUAACAACAAAACUUCCAUCAACACUUUAUACAAACACUGCAAAUAGUCAACAAAGAAUUGGAAACCCUAGAAAUCCCGUUUUAAGUCCAUUUUAGACUAGGACUUCCUUAUUGGGCCUGAUGGGCCAAUAAGCUUCCAAUUUGACUAUUUUGGGCUUAGAACUCUAAAAUGGGCUCUAAUUGGACCCACGUCCAUUUAUUUUAAUAAUUUGGGCCAUAUUGGGCCUAGAAUGAAAUAAAAUACCCUAAUGGACCGUAUUGGGCCAUAACUAACCUAAUUAGCCCUAAUGAGCCAUAAAAAUCAUUCCUUGAUUUAUUUUGGGCCGUGAACCCUCUCCAAAGACCAAUUGGGCCAAAAAUCAUCUAAUUGGAUCAUAAUAUUGGCUUAAGCACAAAAGGGCCCAAAAAUCUUUCCUUUUCUCUCUUUCUUGACCCAAGAAGAAAACAAGAGAAAAAAAAAGAGAAACUAAUGAAAUAAGGUGGGUUAGCCACCACCUUAUUACCUUAUGGAUUUCCAUGCACCAUCCCAUACAUCCAUGCAACUCUCUCUCUCUUCUUCUUCUCUUCUUAUUACUCUCGGCCAAGAGGAAACACACACACACACAACUCACUUCAACAUAUCUCAAGAACUCACAACAACCUCUUUCUUCUCCACCAAAAUUUUCGAGAUUUAGAGCUUUUCAAGGAAGUUUUUCCACAAAAAUCAUCAUCUUAGGUAAGUUGAUGCUUGGAUCCAUAAUCUAGACUCUUUAUUCUAUCAAAAAUCUCUUCUUAACUCAUAUAAACUCAUGAUCAUCACCUUAGAAUCCUCUAAGUUCGAGAUCCACCCAAGAGAGCUUGCUAGGGCCGAAAAUACCAUCAAACUUCUUCCCUUUCUUCUUCAAAUCGAAAACAACAAGCAAAGGUGAGUUCAUACCCCUCUUUUUCGGUUUUUACAAGUUUUAUGGGGGAGAAUACAAGUAAAAUGUGUAGAUCUAUGUGUAUGUGUGUGCUAUGUAUGAUUUUAUGCAUGUAUGUGUGAUUGUAAGUGUUUAUGUGGUAAAUAUGCAACAAAAAGAGAAGAAAUAUCGAGAUCUAUGACAUAAGAAGGAAAAAAAACAUGAUCUAAGGUAUACUACACUAAACAAGUCAAGAAAAAUACCCUCUAAGAUUAAAAUAAACAUAUUGUAACAUAAAACAAAUUUUUGGGGCUUAAAUUCUCAAAUAAACAAAAGUUGGGUGAAAAAUUGCCAUUCACGGUUUUCUUGAGGGUCAAAAGAGUCAAAACAGUUAAAAUAAAUGCUUUUUUAUGAAAAUUAUGCUUUUCAAAGGACUUGAAACGUAAAUAUUAGCUCAAUGGGCCAAUUUUUGGGCUUUUCGGCCCAUUAAGCCCAAAGUUGCGAAAAACAUAAUUUUCAAAGGGCUGAAAUGGGUCAAACCAAUAUUUUGAAUCAAUUCUUUUACUAUGAGGAUGUUUGAGUCAAAAAUACAAAACCACAACUCAUGAAGAUGAACAUAUGUAAAAUCCCAAAAAUCGUUAACAAUAACCGAGCGGCCUCGUGCCAAUUCAAAAUACCAAUCGUCCAAACAAACCUUCCAACAAUUAAACAAUUCCUAAAAACAAGUAAACAAUCCAAACUUGGGCUUGANAGUAAACAAUCCAAACUUUGGGCUUGAAAGUCCAAUCAUGCUUGUUGGGCCUUUGUGACCCAUUAACAUGAUUUUGGGCCCAAGGAAUAAAUAAAUGUUAUUGGGCCUCCUACGACCAAAUUUCAUAUUUAAGGGACCCUCAAUGGCUUUUAAGUGCUAUCGGGCCUUAGUGGCCCAUUAGUACUGCUAGUAAGGUCCAAGUAAACAAAUAUAGGUCGAUAAUCAAUAGUAAUCAAGUCAAUUGGGAUUUAGUGAGUAAUAACGGGUAACACCAACGUGUGUCGGUCGUAGUAUGUAGUUAUAAUCAAAGUUUCCUAGAGGGAGAGCGAGAGUUUAUGUAUAGAUCUAUACGGGGUGACUCCCCCACACCUCAGCUGUUCGCUACAGUUAGACUCGGCCAGUCUAGGUGACAAAAUCUGAAGAUCAAUUCUGGCGUUCAACAGAAUGCUAAGACAGACGAACUAGUCAUUAUCAUUCAUGGUUAUAACGACUCACAUAAAUAAACCCGAUAUAAAUCAAGUAAUCAAGGUAAUUCCAAAUCAUUCACAUGAUGGGAUAACAAUUCGAACCGUAUAGGAUAUUUUUAUUUUGGAAAACAUCGGGCUUUCUUGGAAAGUAUAUUAUACUUAGAAGAGGGAUGCCGUAAUCUAAGUAAUAACAUAUUUGAAAGGUAGGUGAAUGACGUUUCACCAAUUUCCACCAUGAAAAACAAAAUGAAUUAUUAGGUUUUAAUUGGAUUUGAAAUUUCUAGAUUCUUUUGAGAUUCAUUGAACUUUUCAAUGGCAUGUUUCAAUCUCGAUUGUGCCCUUCAAGUUUUGUGACUGGGAUGCCGAGGAUCACAAAACAAGGUGUGAAUAACCAUGCUAAUUCACUUGGUACCCUUAAUAUUAUCACCUAAUCAAUGUGUCGGUUAACUACACACGCUCCAUUGAUCUAUGACAAAUAUUAAGUCACCCUUCGUGAUCCUUACUAGUCCAAGUUAGUGUGCCGGUUAACCACACACGCUCCACCAACGACUUGGUAAGGUACAAAGUGUGAAUUCCAUGGACUAGCACCAAAUUCACAUUUUUCCUAAAGUAACUAAGAUUGGGAAUUAAAUAAAAAAUUUUUAGUUACUUUAUAAUAAUCAUUAUACUUUUAAUGAGAAUUUAAAGUCAUUGUCCUACCCGUUCGGCUAACGACCCUCCACCAGUCAAGCAAGCGGUGGGUGAGAGUGGACACCCAUUAAGUCGCCAUUUUAUAGGCAACAACCUUAUACCCACCUUAUAGACCGGCUUCGUGAAUGAGGCCUACUAACGGUAAAACGACUUGUUCUUAUACAUAUAUAUAAUAAUUAACCAUUAAUGUUAUAAAUAGUAUAAGUGUUAAAUUUUAACUAUUAAAACUCUAAGGAUUGGAAUUAAAGUUUAUUAAAGUGUGUGAAACUUUACAAAUUCCAAAACUUGAGGGCGAGUUUUGUAACUAUUCAAAACUUUUCAUUUAAUAACUUAUGAAUUAAAUGUUCAUAAAAAUGAAGACUCUUCAUUUUUAUGUAACUUAUGUGUUUUAAAUGUGUGUUUAAAAGAAGUGACCUUUGGACAUCGAUAACUUGAGAACAAAUUAUGGAAUCCAUUAAAACACAUAAAUGAUCAACAAUUAAUCAUAAACAAUUCAGCAAAUAAUUCCUAUCAUCUUCUAAAUUCAUAAGAACAUGAACAUCAAAAUUUCAACAAAACAUGAACACAUAUAAGACAUGAAAUUUUGAUAUGAGCCAUUGUAAAUGGAUUAGAACAACCANACCAUUACACCAACUAAAACAAGUUUUAAAACACCAAAACAAUUUAGGGUAAUGUUUCUAGUCCAUUUCCAGCAGCAAAAGUUGAAAAUCUGCAUUAUGAGGCUUCUACUCGUCGAGUGCACUAACCUACUCGACGAGUAGGAUGAAUUUAGUCAUGGACUCGGCGAGUCCCCCCAUGGACUCGGCGAGUUCAUCAUGCAGACAGCAAGAAGAUCGACUUUUUUCACUAUUUUGCAUCAAGUAUCAAACAAACAAGCCUAGACUCUGAUACCAUUGUUGGGUUUUGAGCAUUCUAACACUUCCUAAGUGUACAUAUAACCCUAAUAAACCUUGGAUCUAUGUUUGUCUAUAAUACAUGCAAAAUUUGUUUUCCAAGGUUUAUAACUUAUCUAGCAUGGCAUGGGGAACUUUUAAACCUAAAAGAACUAGAUGAAUUACAUACCUUUUGAUGAGUGUUGAUUCCUUGGAGUUUGAGAGCCAAGAACCAAUAAUGUGAAUGCCUCAAAUGGAAAUCACAAAUCACCACAAACUUGGAAAAACUUAUGAAAGUGUAUACUUUGCACUAGAAAUCGGCAACCACUUCUUACACACACUAGGGUGUCAAUUCAUGCUCCAUAGGCUUGUUUAUAUAGUGUAGAUGAUUAGGGUAAACCCUAAUAACCCAUGUCUUUUCCUCUUCCAAGGAUCCAUGGGUUAAAAGCUCCAUGGAUUAUCCAUGGACAUCCAUAUAAGCUAAGCCCAUUCCCAAAUGAGUGGUAGCCCACACCAUACAAAUAUAAUAUCCCAUGAUUUAAUUAGUCUUCCUUUUAAUCACUAAAUCAAUUCAUAAUUAAUUUAAGAUUAAAAAACAUAAAUAAAUAACAUGACUUUAUAUUAAUAUAUUAUAACUUAUAAUAUAUUAAUAAAACAUAAGUAUACAAUUCUCCUAAUAUUAUCCAUAAAUCGUUUGGGUGAAGUGCAACCCAAAUGGACCAUGCGGGGUUGGGUCAAGUAUAUACAAAAUAAGUUAUGGACCUAUACAACUUAUCCAACAAAUGUUUAUUUUAUGAUUCAUGUAUAUUCAUUGUGAUGAUAUUCAAUUUAAGUCACUCGAGCCCUCGGACGUUUCCGCCGUCUGGUUCGGGGGUGUGACAGGUUGGUAUCAGAGCACUGUUUAUAGUGAACUAGCAUAUCUAACCACACAUUGAUAUGCAACUACAAAGAAAAGAGGGACAAAACUGUUGGGUUUUGAGCAUUCUAACACUACUAAGUGUACAUGCAACCCUAUAAACCUUGGAUCUAUGUUUUCUCUAUUAUAAAUGCAAAUAUUAACUAUUCAAAGGUUUCAUCCUAACUAGCAUAUUAUGAAGCACCUAUACAACAAACUUCUAGUUAGAUGACAUACCUUUUGAUGUAGCUUGAUGUCUUCAAGAUUUAAGAGCUUAGCCCCAAUAGUGUGGAAGGCUCAAGUGGAAUCACAAAUCACCAAAACACCUUGGAAGACUUUGAGAAUAAGGGUACUUUGGUUCUCUCUAGUGAAAUCAACUAGCCCUUCUUAGUGUACCCACACUAGUGCCAAUUUCACCAACCAAGGACAUCUUUAUAUAGUGUGGAGACUAGGGUUAAACCCAUGACCUUUCAUUUCAUAUGAUCCAUGGGUUACACACACCAUGGACUAUCCAUGAAAGCUUAGCCUAAGCUAAAUGAAAUUAGCCCAUUCCACAUAUAUAAGAGUCCAUAUUUAAUUAGUUCAUUUUGAUCACUUAAUUAAUUAAUUCUUGAUCAAUACAAAUUAAAUAAUAUGAUUCCAUAUUAAUAUAUUAGAACUUAUAAUAUAUAAAUAUAAAUCAUAAAUAUACUAUUCUCAAAAGACUAUCCAUAUAAAUUAUGUCGGUGAAGUGCAACCCAAAUGGACCAUGCCGGGUCGGGUAAAGUACAUAGCAAAUAUAGUUAUGGACUUAGACAUUAAUCCAAUAGUCUCCCACUUGGAUAAGUCUAAAACUAUUAUUGAGUAUGACUUCAAAACCUAACUAGCAAUCGUAGCACUUAAAGCCGCUGUCGAACUCUGACCUUGUAAAUGACUUGUCCAUUAGAUAAGGGAUCAUAUAUUUCUCCAUUCUAGAUAUCAUAUGGACUGAGACAUGGAUUAUAAUCAUUCUCUCUGUCCAUUUAUUGUUUCCGGAUUUCCGAUUCAUGACGAUUGACUGAUUGAACAAAUCAAAUUAGUCCUAGCUUGGCCAAGCACUCACAUGUGUCAUCAUUAAAUCAUCGAGGGGCCCACAUAUAUCGCUUUUAUCCCGAAGGUAAAAGGAAUGGAUAAACUUUGACUCAUAUGGCUUGUUCUACUACUUGUUGAAUCAUACACAAAGGCACGUUUUAUAACAUCGAGUUACCGAAUGCAGUUUCGUGCAAUCAAUUUACAAACAACUCAUAGUAACAACUCAUAUCUCUAGGUUUGAAGAAUAUAAGAUAUUAUCGUCUCACGAUCACUCGUGAUAAAAUCCAUGAAGUGAUUCAAAUGAGUGCGGGUUGAANAGUUGUAGCACAACUUUGUCCACCAACUUGGACCUCUACAAGCCAACCCAUGACAGUCUUGAUUCAUAUCUACUUCCAACAUAUGACCGACUGUGGAUGGUUUGAAUAACUUAGUCAUUCUGAAAGAAUAACCUAGUUAUUAUGGAAGUCAAAACAUGCAAAGCGAGACACAAUAAUAAAUGAAUCUAAUAUGGUAUUAAAACCUAUGAAUAUAAAUAAAAAAACUUUCUAUUUAUCAUCAUAUUGAUUACUAAUUAUUCAUUGUUUCGGUUUUAUCAACUUUAUACUUAAAUUAAAAAACACUAGGUGUCCCAUGCUCCAAGCAUGUACACUAUGUUUUCUAAACAAUAGCUUUGCCAUACACCAAGUAUGAACUCUAUGCUUGUCUAUGAUCCUUUUCUUUUUGAACUAGAUCAAUUGAACAUAAUUUCAAUGAUUCUCUUUUCACACUCCCAAUUCCUUGUCUUAAAUGUAUGAAUUCCAAAUUCCUAUUAUUUAUCGAAUUCUCUUUAGAUUUUAAACUUAUAUGCACUGUUCCUAUUGUAAUGAUUAUGCACAAAACCACAAAGGCUUGGCAACAAUCAUUACAGAGUAUUCCAAUGGAAAAGCAUUCCAUGGAAACGAUGUCUCAAAUUCAAAGCGCAUUGCUUUGAACAUGCUUCUUGCAUUAGGUUUCUUUAACCAUACACAGAUUGUGACAACCGUCAAUUUUCGGUCAAGUCAAAGUCAACAAGUCAAACCGGUAAACUCAAUUUGCCCGUAGGUACUAGAGUUUACAUUAUGUAAUUUCUAAACAACACUCUAUUCUAAUGAGAGAUCAUAAAUCGAAAAGUGCGUACAUCUAGAUCUCCUUAACCUAAAACUAUGGUACGUGGCGAGCCAAACCAAUAAAACAAUUUUGCAUACUCAUCGGGAGUAUGCAAAAUCCUUAAACAAGGCUUAACGGGGCUUACGGACCUUGCAUUGUGAAGCCGGACACUUACAUUCAUCACACACGAAACCGCUCUCAAUCGUUUUCACUCUAUCUCUUUGUAUGAGAAAUCUCUCCAAGAAUGUCAAAUCUCUCCCAAAUCCCUCUAAGAAUGUGAAAUCUCUCCCACAUAUCUCUUUGUAUGAGAAAUCUCUCCAAAAAUGUAAAAUCUCUCCCAAAUCUCUCUAAGAAUGCUAAAUCUCUCUCACAUAUCUCUUUGUAUGAUAAAUCUCUACAAGAAUGUCAAAUCUCUCCCAAAUCUCUCUAAGUAUGUGAAAUCUCUCCCAAAUCUCUCUCUGAAUGAGAAAUCUCUCCAAGAAUGUCAAAUCUCUCCCAAAUCUCUCUAAGAAUGUGAAAUCUCUCCCAAAUAUCUCUUUGUAUGUGAAAUCUCCCCAAGUAUGUCAAAUCUCUCCCAAAUCUCUCUGAGUAUGUGGAAUCUCUCUCAAAUCUCUCUCGAAAUCUCUCCCAACUCUCUAUAAUCACUCGGGGCAUCCCGACCCUCGAAUUUGGCGAGAACAGCCCAAAAACGGAAGUCUACGCGAAAAACGGGCAUGAGGAACCGAAACCCCUCUUAGGACCCGAAAGUCCUCUUAGGAACCGAAAGUCCCCUUAGGAACCGAACCCUCCUGAUGAAGAAGGCUGCUGAACCGAACCGAACCUCACUCUAAGAACCGAACCCUUCUGAGCCGAAGGCUGCUCAACCGAACCCGAACGUUCGGCACCUUUCGGUUCUGACCAUUUCCUCUUCUGAUGACUAACCGAACCCUCCCUUCUGAUGGCUUGCCGAACCUUCCCUUCUGAGGACCGAGGACCGAGCCCUCGCUUCUGACUUCGGACCGAGCUCCCCGCCCCUUCGUUUCCCUCUGUUCGUUUCCGGCUACAAUCCUCAGCAUGGACCGAGCCUCGGCCUAGGGACCGAACCUCGGCCUAGGACCGAGAGGUCUCGCUGGGAACUCAUUUUCUCCCGGUUUUCGCGUAGUUUUGCGUUUAAGGCCCGUUUUUAAUUAUUUUAACGCGGGAUUUUCACCCAAAAUCAUAUUUUAACAUAAUAAACCCUAAAUAUUCACAAUUUAAUCAUAUUUUCAUAAAAAUCUUUAUUUAAAUAAUAAAAGCAAGUGGGUAAAGUACAAAGAGGUGGAGUGUUGACUUUGCUUUACCUUAUGACACAAGCAACCACUCCCACACCCACUCUAUGACCAGCCACACCUCCCCACCUUACCUAGGUCACAUCAAUGUCCUUUUCACUCAAUCAUCACUCUUUCCCACGUUUUUGAGAGCUGAAUAUUCAUCCUCUCUCCUCACUUCUCUCAUUUGCUCUCAUUUCACAAGAAGAUCAAACUCUUUUCUCUCUCACUUUCUCUCUCUAGAAAUUCGAGAUUUCCAGGGCUGAUCUUGAGUUUUUCCUCCACAUUUGGUAAGCAUAAUCCAUUCUCUUUAUGAUUAUCUCAAUUAUUUCCACUCAAAUCAUGGAUAUCUUACACAAACUCCAUUAUAUUUGUGUUAGAUCUUCGAAUCUUCAAGUGAUUCUUCAAGUGUUCUUGGGUUGAACACUUCUCUUCUUCAACACUUAUCUACUGAAAUCACUCAAGGUGAGUUCAUACCCCUACAUUUUCAUGUUUUCUCAAGUUUUUAGGGGGGGAAUACAAGUUAAAACACCAAGAACAUAACUAAACUUUUCUAACAGCCUUCAUCAGAAAAGUUCAACUCCAUUCACGGACUGUUUUGGACAACUUAAACAUUUUAGUUUUCAAAACUGUUUUAGGUGCAUGUAGUUCCACUUCUUAGCUUUAAAAUGACUACUUGCACAUCUCCAUACGAUUUUUCUACAAUUUAUGGUGAUUUUUACAAAACUGCCUAUCAUUUCAAACAUCAAUCCGGACCAGUCUGUGAUUAUGGACUUUUUCACACAAGUAAGAAGUCAUUAAAAAUUAUAAUAAAAAUUAUGAACAAACUAGACUCAUUUUCCAAACUCUCAGAAGUUACAGAACUUGAUUUGGACAUUUUAUGAUUUUUCUACAAAUUUUCCAAUAACAGUUACAGAAAAUGUUAUUAACAGAAAAACACUAUAAAUUUCAUUUCACCUUGUAACAUGUUGAGCAAGGUAUACAUCAUUAUGUGAUUAUGUGUUGUUGCAAUAUAUGACAAUUUUGUAUUCUUAUAUAGACAUACAUCAGAAAACAAAUGGAUUUAUACCUCCACAAGUAUGGUAAAUAUAUAAAUGAUAUUACAAGGCUAUAUCCAUUAAAAUAUAAACAUUGGUAAAUUAUGACAAGUAAGGCUUAUGCUCACUACCCACACAAAUAAUUAAUAAACUAUAAUAGGUAUAGUUUAGGGUUAUUUUACAUAACAAACACAUGAUUAAAGGUUUUACACAUACAAAAGAGUUAUUACCACUAUGGAUAAUUAUGAUAAACUAUAAUAAGUAUAGUUAAGCCAUUAUACCCCCACAAACGAACACGCUAGUUAUAAUCGGUAUAGUUAUGGUAUAUAUAUAUUACAAACAAAGUGAUAAACUAUAAUAGGUAUAGUUUAUGUUUCAUCUACCCUAUGAACUUAAUUACAAGAAAGGAAUUCACCAUCACCACCACUUUUGGUAAACUAUAAUAUGCAUAGUUCAUGUUCACUAGUCACUAUCACUAUUUGAUGAACUAUGAUAUGUAUAGGUUAUAUUCACCAUCACCACCACUUUUGGUAAACUAUAAUAUGCAUAGUUCAUGUUCACUAGUCACUAUCACUAUCCGAUGAACUAUGAUAUGUAUAGUUUAUGUUCACAGUCACUAUUACUAUUUCAUACACUACACUAGGGUUUGGUUCCGGUUUUUGGAUUUAAGUCCACAUUAAAUUUUCGCAUUGUUAGACUUCAACUAUAAUCGUUGAGCGUAUAUGCUUGAGUCAUACAAGAAUUUAGUCUGGAUUGGCUUAGAAUUGGUGGUGCCCGCCUCAUCUCCUGUUCCUCGUUGGGUUGUGGACCUAGGGCAGACCCACUAUAUUCAACGUUUUAUCUAACUUAAAUCUUAUAUAACUUAUAUACGCUGGACGAUUAUAGGGGAAAUCUACGGGUCAAUCUAGGGUUCAUCAACACAUCAUAUAGGAAUAUUCUGUUUACACUUAACUAAGAAAAUAUUGGAUUUUCUGGAGAUCAAACUCUAUCGAUUUUAAAAAGGAAAACGGUUUCUACUCCAAACAAAACUCUUAUGAACUCACCAACUUAAUUGUUGACCUCUUUCAUAACUACUUGUAUUCUCAGGAAAUCAGUGAAACAGGAAAACUUCAGCGCUUUGAGGAUGGGACGUUAAACUGUCAACAAUUUAUUUUUGUCAUUAUAAUGUAAUUGAUUUUGAAACAUGUAAACAUAUACUUUGGUGUAACUUUUUCAAUUAUAUUUAUGAUGGUUGUAUUUACUUUGAGCACUAUUAUACACGUAGUUGUGAUACUGUGCAUGAAGUCCUCCACCCCCGGACGUUUCCGCCAUCCUUGGUUUGGGGGUAUGACACAGAUUGCUUCCACCUAUGAAGGCAACUCUAUAUUCCCAUUUUGACUACCACUUUUGAACAAGAGUUCCCUCUUUUCAGACUAUGUCAAUAUGGCCCUUCCAAUAUUAACAGUAUACUUCCAGUUGUCCUUGAGCCACCAAUCUUUGGUAAACCUUAGAUUGUCCUCGACAAUUGCUUAAUCACUUUAGUCAUAUCUAAUUCUAGACAUCAUUCCCCUUAAUGCCCCAAGGCAUUUGGAAAAUUCAGAAAUGAUAAAUAUUAUAGCACAUGUAAUCGAUCUUAUACCCAAAGUAAAUGGGACAAGAUUCAUGAUGUUUCAUAUAAAGACAUGGUUCUAGACCAGUCUUUCGCCAUAAUAAUUUUUAUUUGCCAUAUUCUCAAAAUUUGACUAUGAAAAGGGAUGCCAUAAUCAUAAUUGAAUUUUAGAUUGCAAAUAAUAGACCCAUAUAUAGAAUUUCCUUAUGUUGAGCCAUUCCAACAUCAAAUUCAUAUAUGUAUCCUUGACUAAAUACGAUUAGAACCUCAAUCUAAGCUUUUAGAUUUGAGAUGAAGUAUAAUUUCCUCUCCCUUAAUUAUAGCAAAACAACUUUUUCUACCCCUAUAACCUCACGAAUUGAAACUUUUGUUUUAUAUAAUUAACAUUGCUAACUUGCAAUUCUUAUCAUAAUUAUCAUGCUCCCACGAACAUGAUGACUAUUAGCAUAUCACUUAUGCUCCCACUAGCAUUCACAUGUAUCUAGAAAACAGCUGGAACUGUAGAAGUCAAUACUUUAUUGACAUUCUUACCAAAGCUCAGAUUUCUGAUACUAGAUUGCUUUGAUAAGGCUUUAUCAAAAUUAGACACCUUAUCUUAGAUAGCUCACAGGUGUGUCUAAACAAUUUCAUAACUAUGAAAAGGGAUGCCGUAAUCAUAGUCUCAAUUGUUUAGACCUUUUUGCCAUUUCUCAUAAGUCAAUGUUAGUGUGCCGGUUAACCACGCACGCUCCACUAAUGACUUUCAGAACUGCAAAUAUCACAACUGCUAUCUACUUAGUGAAAGAGUUUCCUUACCAUCAUUUUCAUGAAUCAAAGAGAAACCUUAUGACACUUAGAUUUUAUGGUGUAUAUGCUCUUAUCCACGUGAAUUUGUCAAACCAUAAUCACAAGACUAGGUUANCUAGGUUAGUGACAAAUCCUAACUCAUAUGGAUUGAACUUGUGCAAUCUUAACUUCUUGCCACCUGGCAGCUCAAGGGCUUGCCAUUGCUUCCAUGUAGCUAUGCAAACAAUUAAGAACAUGUAGAACUCAAAUGUAUAGCCAACUUAACUGGAAUGGGCACAAAAAUGUCAGCACGAUAGGUUGUCAACCUCUAGUUGUGUGCUAGUGAUGAAAUAUAGGUUUUAUUCUUGAUUACUUCUUGAAACCCUAUUAGGAUCUUUUAGACUCCUACUGUCUCCUUGAUCUAUAAGACUUUCUUUCCAAAUAUUCAAGAGAUAGUGUGGAUUCUAAUCAAGACAAACACUUAACACAACUGGCCUAAGUUGAUCUUUGUUUUAUCCAAAACAUCACAACCUGCCAAUUUCAAAUGUACAAGAGUAGAAUACUUUUACUCUUACAUUUGACAAGUGUUUUAAACCUUCUUUAAGACAUGUCACUUAAGUUACAAUCUUAGAGUAUAACUCUAAGAAUCGUUUUUGGAACGAAGUAUGAAUCAUCUUCUUGAUUUAACCACUUCAACAAUUCAUAACUCCUCUUCUUAACUAUCAGAAUGCACUUAGAGGAUGAAUUGUGAUAAGGUGUCAAAUUCAUUAAGAUGAUCUUAAAACAUGAUACUAAAUACCCUCCCAUCUUUUCAUAUUUGAGAAACUUUUAUCCUUCUGCCUAAUUUGAUUCUUCAUAUUCGUUCUGUUAUACAUUGAAACUUUUCCAAUGUCUCAUAAUUAUACUUAAGCUUGUAAGUAUAAUCAUAUUUACUAAACCUUAGUAAAUCAUGACGAAUAGUCUUAUCUAUCUUUUGUGGUGGACUUUGACAAGUGCACAAGAAAGUGUACUUGAUCCCUUAAUCCUUCUCUUGAGUCACAUAUACAUGUGACCAUGGAACUAGUCUUAAUUUUCCAAAGUUGAAAAUUCAGACACUACCACAAAUGAAAGAAUCAAAUUCAUAUUUCCAAUAUUGCUAUAAACAUACAAACAUCAAGUUUUCAUGAAUGUCAUUGUAAGGAGAUAAAAAUAAAGUAAAACAAACUUUUAUUUAUUUUAAAAUGCGGAAAAAAAAAACUUUUUCCUUACAAUGUAACAUGAAAUGAAAACUAUGUUAUUACAUUUUCCUACCAACCUAUCAUAACUCCUAAGAAGUAGCUCAAGAAUCUGAUCUUCAAUCAAGCGAUAGAAAUCCAUCUUCGAGUUCAGAUUCAACAUACUCUUUCUUUAAGUUUCCUUCUAUUUUCCUUUGAUUCUUAAAACAUCAACAUGUGACCCAGUCACAUCAUGUAAUAAGAAUCUUAAAAUAGAAACUUAAUAGAGUUUGAUAGUGGACUUUACCUGAAGUAGAGUCAUACUUAUUCACUUUACCAGCCUUAUGAUCUUUCAGGAAUAUUUGGCAGCUUCGCAACCAAUGCCCUUUCCUUUUUGGCAAUAGAAUCAUAUGGAUCCUUUGGGAAUGGUACAUGGGAUAGUCUCAGACUUAGCCUUUCUCUUUACCAUUUGGUCAACCGAGUUGACUAUGGCCGAUCCCUUUCCUUUGGGAAGAAAAAUGCUUUUUCUGGAUUUCGAGUGUCACCAUUUUCAAUGUCCAUAAAGUUUUGGGAAGUCGAUCUUCUAAUCAAAUUUGCUUUACUAGCCUUGCAAAUCAUUGUUGAUUCAGCAACACCAAUCAAAUAGAUAAGAUCAUUAAGGGUCUUGUCAUAGUAUGUUUCAUAGGAGUCCCAAAAGGAACUCACUAUGUGACUUAGAAAGUGAUUGAACCACUAACUUUCUCAAGACUUUGACACCCAACUCUCCCGGCUUUUCAGUUUGUGACUUCAUCUGCAAGAUGCGAUCACAACAAGACCUUGCCUUGCCAAUAGGGUUUGAGUGACCUUGAACUUGUGGGUUAGGGAGAAUAAUUGGAGGAGGUGGAGGAAGUGAAGUUCCAAG